UGGGGGGACUGAAAUCGCAGAACUUGUACAAACAAUCGUCUUCUCCAAAACAAGUCCCAGCAUCCGGCUGUUUUCAUCUUGCUUUGUCUACGCGUGAAUACCAGAAAAUUCUAUUCCGACAACUCUCCAAGGUGCAAUUCGCAAGCUCCCUCUUAUACAAAUUUCAGGCCAUUAAUUCAUAUCCAUACAAAGGGAAAAGGCAGAACCAGAAACGGAAAACAAAGACAGUGUCGCAUGCUAACAUAUCAGGAUCAAAAUUCUUCUUUCUACCCUUGAAAUCAACUAUUAUGUUCUGAAAAGCAUUGAAAUUGCUGUCCAUUUGUUUCUUCACAUGCACAAACGCAGACCAGUCAUUUUCCGGGCAUAACAUUCAGUCGGGUAUUUCAUCGAAUACCAAACGGGCACACAAAAUUGUAGCUAGUUUCUGCUCGAAUGAAUCUAUAACCCGCCCAAAAUUUUUAUUAGCAACUCAAGACAACACAACCCAAUGAAUCCAGAGAGCAUUCAUGCCCGAAAUUGUAAAUAAUCAAUGAGAAAAAUGCAACAAUAACUCUCUGCUUUGAAAGUCUUAAAGACUCAGAAAAAAAAAUAAAUCGAACAUAGAAGGCUGGCUUACCUCAUUUCCUGGGUGAAAAUCUGCUGGUGGCAGUGAAGGAUUGACGGUAAGGUGGUGGGUUCCAGCGCUACGGCAAUCAGCAAUUCCUCCGCCCCAUUUUUCUGCCUGAAAUUCCUCCUCCAGAUUCCAAUUUCAGCCACAAUUCCUUACAACGGUUUCUUACGGCGACAAUUCAUGGACAGCAGCGGCGGGUUCAAGCGAAGGGGAGGCUCCGGUUCUUGGGCAAGCGGUGGAAGUGUUGGAUGGGCAGUCGGUUUUGUAAAGGGGCAGAGAGAACCCCUGCUAUUCCGACGGUUGCGAUGGCAACAAUGGCAGCGGAAGUUGAAAGGUGGCGGCGGGGCGGUAGAAAGUAGUGAUGGCAGACAGCAAUGGCAGUGAGAUGCGGACUAGUGGUGGUUUGAGCAGACAGCGUGAAGGGCUUGCGUUGGAAACGGGAAUUAUCUUGGGAAAUUGGGGGAAUUCGAAGAAGGAUGGUAGAGAGCGAGUGGUAGCAGCCGGUUGAGAUAGGGGGGAAUUUUACAGUGGUGGUUGGAGAAUUUUCUUUCAUCGGAUGAUUCAAGUUUAAGCCCCCCAUUUCUUUUUCCGAUUAGUUUUCUGGUUUCUUCCUCCCCAGAUUGCAGCCUUGCAUUUUUCGCCUUCACGAAGUUCCCCUUUUCUUCCCAUGAAGUUCCUUGUCCGCCGCCCUCUUUUUCUCUGGUUUCUCUUUUCUUUUUUGCUUUUUUUAGCUCUCCUUCUUAGCCGAGAGCUUUCUCGGUUCUUUUUCUUCUCUCCGUUCCCCUCGUUCUUUCUUUGUUUUUUUUCUUCGCCCAAAAGCCUCCGCAGACAUCCCCUGUAUUUCUAUGUCCGCCCAAAAAAAUUUAGCCGCCGUAAGCCUCCCCUGCUGUUUUUUCCUAUCCUCUGUUUUUGCUCUUUCGACACCACUCUCGGCCUUUUUUCUUCUUACCCUCUCUCAAUCUCCUUCUCAGCUAAAACCUAGCCGACCCCUUCUAGAUUCAUCCUCUCCUCCAGGUGUCCUAGACACCUGGCCUCUUCAGCCAAAAAUUUCCCCCAGGACCUCUCGCAACUUUCAUUUGCAAGCUGCGGCAAAAAUGCAGCUUUUGGCUUCUUUUCUUUUUUUUUUUUUUUUUUUUUUUUUUUAAAUUAAUGAUUUAACAAAAAUAAUAGUAAAAUAAACAAACUAAAAAUAACAAAAUUACCAUUUUCGACCUUUUCUUUCAUUUUUCCAUUUUUCAUCAUUUUCCAUUUUUUCAAAAAUAAAUUAACAAAAAUAAACCGAAAUGCCAAAAGAUUGAAUUUGAACGUAUUUUUGUGAACAAUUUUCCUUUUUUUCUCUUUUUCAUGAUUUUCUUUUUCCCCUUUUUUCAUUUUUCACUUUUCCUUUUUUUUCUUUUUCUCUAAAAAUUCUACGCUAAACUUACAAAAUAAAAACUACAAAAACAACUAAAAACUAAAAAGGGAAUAAAACUAAAUAAAAUAAAACCUAAAAGGGCUAGACAAACACAUAAUGAACUAAAACGCAAAUCAUCUAAACACAAAGCAUUAAUUCAAAAUUUGGUGUCUACAGUUUGCCCCUCUUUGUCUGAGUUUUGAAAAAACUUGAGACAAAGAAAUAGACACCAAAUACCUACCUGCUUUAUCUGGUGGCGAACGUCAUGAACGGUGGACGUUUUUAGAAAUGGGGACUGACCCCUCUUGACAAAACUUAAAGUGUAAUUGAUUUAGAUCAGGAAAUUAAAAGCGGGACCGACCCGAACAAAAUUAAAAAUGGGACUGGCCCGAACAGGAAUUAAACGGGACUGACCCGAACAGAAUUUAAACGGGACUGACCCGAACAAGAAUUUAAAACGGGACUGACCCGAACAGAAAUUAAACGGGACUGACCCGAACAGAAAUUUAAACGGGACUGACCCGAACCAGAAUUAAAACGGGACUGACCCGAACGAAUGGAAUUUUAAACGGGACUGACCCGAACAGAAAUUUAAACGGGACUGACCGAACAGGAAUUUAAACGGGACUGACCCGAACAGAAUUUAAACGGGACUGACCCGAACAGAAUUUAAACGGGACUGACCCGAACAAGAAUUUUAAACGGGACUGACCCGAACAGAAUUUAAAACGGGACUGACCCGAACUGGAAUUUAAAACGGGACUGACCCGAACAAAAAUUAAAGAUGGGACUGGCCCGAACAGGAAUUAAACGGGACUGACCCGAACGAAAAUUUAAACGGGACUGACCCGAACAGAAAUUUAAAACGGGACUGACCCGAACAUAAAUUAAACGGGACUGACCUGAACAGAAAUUUAAACGGGACUGACCCGAACAGAAUUAAAACGGGACUGACCCGAACUGGAAUUUUAAACGGGACUGACCCGAACCAGAAUUAAAACGGGACUGACCCGAACAGGAAUUUAAACGGGACUGACCCGAACAGAAUUAAACGGGACUGACCCGAACAAAUUUAAACGGGACUGACCCGAACAGAAAUUAAACGGGACUGACCCGAACAGGAAUUUAAACGGGACUGACCCGAACAGAAAUUUAAACGGGACUGACCCGAACAGAAAUUAAAAACGGGACUGACCCGAACAGAAAUUUAAACGGGACUGACCCGAACAGAAAUUAAAACGGGACUGACCCGAACAGAAAUUAAAACGGGACUGACCCGAACAGAAAUUUAAACGGGACUGACCCGAACAGAAAUUAAACGGGACUGACCCGAACAGAAUUUAAACGGGACUGACCCGAACAGAAAUUUAAACGGGACUGACCCGAACAGAAAUUAAACGGGGCUGACCCGAACAGAAUUUAAAACGGAUGAAUUGAAGUGAGAUGGAGUGUUGGUGGGAUUGACUCAUGUUUAUUGGUGAUGCAAAUGAAAGGAGUGAAAUGAAGUGUUAAUGGGACUGAUUCACGUUCCAGUGGUUGUGAAAAUGAAAUGUCUUGACAAUCGGACAGUGGGAUCAAACCCGAACCUGCCGUGAUGAACUUGAUUUGAUUUUUGAUUUUCCUUUUCCUUUUUUUCUUUUUUUUUUUUUGAUUUUUGAUUUUUUUGAUUUUUUGAUUUUUUUUUUUUUGAUUUUUUUGAUUUUUUUUUUUUUGAGAAACUUUCCAAAGAUAAUUUGCCCCAGUAUGAAGAAUUGGUCAGUGGGAAUCGGUCAGUGGUAUAAAGCACGGUCAGCGGGAUAAAACCCGGUCCUGCCGAGAUUGGCGGGAUGAUACUCGGUCCCAAUUGAUAAAAGCGGUCAGCGGAUAAAACCGGCCUGCCGAGGUCGGAGGGAUAAAACCCAUGCCAACGAAAAUAAAAGCGGUCAGUGGGAUAAAACCCGAGCCUGCCGAGGUCGGAGGGAUAAAACCCGUGCCCUGAAAAUAAAAGCGGUCAGUGGGAUAAAACCCGAGCCUGCCGAGGUGGCGGGAUAAAACCCGUCUCCAAUGAUAAAAGCGGUCAGUGGGAUAAAACCCGAGCCUGCCGAGGUCGGAGGGAUAAAACCCGUGCCCUAACGAAAAUAAAAGCGGUCAGUGGGAUAAAACCCGAGCCUGCCGAGGUCGGAGGGAUAAAACCCGUGCCCUACGAAAAUAAAAGCGGUCAGUGGGAUAAAACCCGAGCCUGCCGAGGUCGGAGGGAUAAAACCCGUCCAACGAAAAUAAAAGCGGUCAGUGGGAUAAAACCCGGUCCUGCCACCCAAUUGGUCAAGAAAUUGAAUUUGAUUUGUCAAGGAACAAGAAAUUUGAUUUUCCAAGAAACAAGAAUUUGAACUUGAUUUUUGAUUUUUGAAUUUUGAAUUUUUUCUGAUUUUUCGAGAGAAUCUUUUUCAAAAUAAUUUGCCCUCAGUGUAGGGCCCUUUUCCCUUCUUUUUCUCUUUCUUCGGCAUCGGCCUUCCACGUCACCAGAUGCUCUUUCGUCGAUUUCAACAAUGAAUACCUGCACAGGGGCUUACCGAAAUAUGACAUGCAUUCACAUUUACAUGAAAAGAGCAGCGUGAUUGAUUUGAAAGAUGCAUUAUUUGAUUCUUGGACGAAAUUCUCAAUUGGACUAACAAAAAUAUUUGCCCCUGUGUGAGCUUAUUUUGCGAAACUUCGCAAAUAAAAAUUUUGCCCCAGUGUGGGCCCAUUUGAUUGCAAAAAUUGGUUUGGAUGCUUCUCCAUUUAUUUGCACAGGGUAAGCAAUUGCUUUUCCUAACAUGAAGAAAAUUGAAUGUCUUGCUUAAACUGAUAUAACACAUUCCAUGAUGAAUUUCUCAAAAUAAUGCCAAAUUACGAAAGAUUUCUUCCCCACUUUAGCAUCAACGCUUUAGGUAAUGGGUCACCAUUUCUUGUUGGUUCAUCUGUCAGGACCAAUCAAGUGAUCUGAUUUUUGAGGGGGUUAAGGGAAAUGAGAAGACGAGAUUUGUUUGGUUCUUGUGCCCAAAUUUGUAAUUCCUUCAAUGCCACAUCUUAGUGAAAGCAAAGAGUUUGUCACCCUUAUUUUUCAAGAAAACUUAGUCAACAUACAAGCUUUCUAGGCAUGCAACGUAUGGGCAGAAGUGAUAGCUAAACAUGUGGAAACGGGUUAUACCCUUAUGAUCACAAAUGAUUUGAUGAAUUUCUUAUGAGCAUGAUCCUCACUUUGGAUUGUCAUGAAGGAAUAAGUCAACGAUGGACUUUAUUGGCUUGUAAUGUGGCUUGAAAACGAUAGUUAAAGAAUAAGACUUUCAAGGAUAUUGCACCAUAGAUCGCCUUUUUCCAAAAAUUGCCCCUAUUUUGAACUUAAAGAUCUCAAACUUUGUUUGCAUUUUUCUCAUCAUUCACCAAGGAUUUCAGAGUCGAUAUAUUUUUUUGCAUUUAUUUUUCUUGCUUCGCUUUUUGCCUCUCUUUUUUUCGAGCUGAUGGGUUUCCUCAUACCCGAGUAAUUCAGAAAUACAGCUAAAAUUUUCAGCAUCAGAAAUUUUCUCGACAAGGCCAUUGCAAAGAACAGAAGUCAGGACUUUCGGCUUUUGUAAUGGGGUCUGGUGGGGUGUUUAAAAAAGUUAAGGCUUGAAGGCAGAUUUCAAGAACGGUUUGAAAAAUCUGAGAUCGCAUUGUUGCACCAACCCUAUUUUUAGGAUUAAAUCAGAAUUUGCCAGAGCUUGUGCUCAAUUGAGGCUUUUCCUCUUUCAUUUUCUUUCUUCUUUUGAUUUUUCGGCAUUCUGCCAUCUUUGAACUUUCACAAAAUUUGCCCCAGUUUAUUUUUAAACUGAGGUUCUCUUUUCUUCCUUUGCUUUUGAUUUUGCGACUUUUCACUUUUUCACUUCUUGAAGUUUUUCCUUUCUUUUGCAAACUUGCCCCAGUGUGGGGUUUGCGAUUCUCAGGGGUUGCCAAACGAAGUAUUUUAUUCUGAAGGCUCAAAAGGGAUAACUAGGGAUAGAAUGCUUGAUCGGAAAAAGAAGAUGGCCUGACUUGUAUUCCGUUCCUUACAAUAACUCUGAAAGGAAACUUUCAUUAAUGGGAAAUCUUUGGCAUGUAUCUGAAUUAACUGACUGAGGAAGACCCUUGUUCAUCCAUAUUUGUGAAACAUAGGCGGUCCGUGCGGACAAAUCUCUUCCUUUUCUUUUCCUUUUCUUUUUCUUUUUCUUUUUCUUUUUCUUUUUUUUUUUUUCCAAAAUUGAAACCCAAGUGGAAAUUUCUCCAAUUCGUGAUUCCCUCUUUAUUUUUUUCCUUUUUUUUCAAUCUCCUUCCCCAAUGUGGGGUGCGAUCAUAUGUGCAUUCGAAAAGAACCACCAAUUUUUUUUGCUCAAAUGAGGAUGCAAGGGAUAAAACAGUGUUUAAGUUGUAGAAAUGAUGGCCAAAGCAUCAUUCUUACACUCCAUGACAAUCAACGUAAUGCAAUGCUCAUUGAAAAUCCAUUCCCCCUUUUGAUAUUUAAAAAUUUUUCAUGUAGGAUAGUAAUCAUCAAGGCGCUUAUUUGAAACGAAAUUAUUCUUUUAAAGGCUCAAAUGGAGAGCAAAUGAUAAAUGUGUAUAGGUAGAGAAACGAAUGUUCAAAGCAUCAUUCCAAAUUUUCAAAACAAAUAAGAAUAAUGCACAUUUUUGCUUUCACUUAGAUGUGAAUUGAAUCUGGUUAAACUAAUGGGCAUUUGCAAGCAAAAAGUUGCUCCAAUUUGCAAUUUAUCAAUCAAUGUGACUGAUUUUAUUUUGGGGUUAAAUGAAGUGGGCAAAAUAUGAAUUGUACAGUGAAAGAGAAAAGGUAUCUCAUUGGAUCUUUUGAGUGGCCUCUUUUAUUUUUGAGCACUUUUAUUGUACAGGUUGGAUCACCAAUCGAGUGUAAGGAUUUUAGAAAGCUUACACUUGUGAAUUUUCAGGCUGGAGGUUGAAAAAUCUCAAAUUGGGUCUUAUUUCUCAAAAUUCACCAUGAAAUCUCUAAUGAGUAAGAAUAAAGAAUGAAAUGUACAUAUACACAAGACAAUAAUUGUCCAAAAAUUUUAUUGCUGAAAACAAUUUGAAACAAAAUUUCUCGUUCAAUUAUGAUACAAAUGAGAAGAGAGAAACUUGUAAAGAGCUCCACAUACACACUUUUUGUCUCCUUUUCUUUUUGGAACAAAAUGUAUUAACAAAUCAAGUAAACAGAAUUUUCCUUUGGCAAACAAUUACAACAUCUCUCAGAUGCUUUAGCGUAGAGCUUCCAGAUAGAUCUUUUGUGUUUUCAUUAUAAGAUCUGCCCAAGAAUCAAAUAACACUUGCGGUUUUCAAACCUUAUUGGAUUAAAAUUAUCAUCAGAUAUAGAAGAAUAUUUUCGUCUUAUUGACACAUUUUUAUGAAUGCAGGGGAGGGGAAAACAAAAGAAAAAUACCCAGAGUUAGUAAACAAGAAUAUAAAACCGGUAUGCAUGUCCUAUGGGGGGACCCUUUUUGUGCCAAGGGUAGGCCUAGCAUGAAAAUGCAAUCCGCUAGAGUAGGCACCAUACAAUACCUGAUGAAUCCGAUCAGUUGAUUGGGUGAAAAAAAAUGAUUUGAAAAAUUUGGCCUCCAAUUGGAGUGAAAAGACACGUUUGUCCUAAAAAUUAGGACAAAGUCCGAAUGGAUUGCUUGCCUUGAUUAUGACGUGUAAAAGAGAUUGCAAUGUUUAGACUAGGUCAUUCAGUGAACCUUAACCCUAGAGAGGGAAAUCUGGUCAAAUGCAUAGGAUGAAAUUGAUGGUUUAUUCAAAAAUUGACUAGAUUACCUUAAGAAGGGUAAAAUGGUCAAAUGCAUUGAAUGAAAUUUGAUUAUUUAUUCAAAAUCGAAUGGAUAACCCUAAAAAAUGAAUUAAAUGAAUCAAAUGAACUAAAUGAAAUCAAUUGACGUGAGUGAAAUGAUGAUUUAUUCAAAAUCGACCGUAUGACCCUAAAAAGGGUAAAUUGGUCAAAUGAAUUGAAUGAAAUUGAUGAAUUGACCGAACGACCCUAAAAAGGGUAAAUUGGUCAGAUGAAUUGAAUGAAAUUGAUUUAUUCAAAAAUUGACGAAUGACCCUAGAAAGGGUAAAUUGGUCAGAUGAACUGAAUGAAAUUGAUUUAUUCAAAAAUUGACCGAAUCACCCUAAAAAAGGGUAGAUUGGACAAAUGGACUAAAUGAAAACUUGAUUUAUUCAAAAUUGGUUCGAUUGCCCUACCAAUGGGUGAAUUAGCCAAAUGAAUGAAAUGGAUAUUGAUAACUUAUGCAAAAAUCGACCAAAUCACCCUAAAAGGGUAAAUUGGUCCAAUGAAUUGAUGACUUAUCCAAAGAUCGGCUGGAUGACCCUAAAAAGGGUAAAUUGGUCAAAUGAAUGAAUUGGUUAAAUGAUGAAUGAAUUGACAAAAUGGAUUGGAUAAAAUGGAUGAUUUAUUAAAAUCGACCGAAUCGCCUUCAAAAAGGGUAAAAUGGUCAAAUGCAUUUAUUCAAAAUUGAAUGGAUAACCCUAAGAAUGAAUUAAACUAAUCAAAUGAAUUGAAUGAAGUCAAUUGAUCAAACAGAUCGAGUGAAAUGAUGAUUUGACCAACUCGCCCUAAAACUAGGCAAAUCGGUCCAAUGGAUCAUGAUUGAUUCAAAAUUGACUAGAUCACCCUAAAAAGGGUAAACUAGUCAAAUGAAAUCGGAUGACUUAUUCAAAAUUGAUUGAAUUGACCUAAGAAAUGAGUAAAUUAGUCCAUAUGAAAUAAAGAUGAUGAAUCGACCCUAAAAGGGUAAAUUGGUCAAAUGAAUGGUUCAUUCAAAAUUAAUUGACAAACGGAUCGACUGAAUCGUUCGGCCAUUGGUUGUUUCAAAAAAAUAGUCUAUGAGCCAUCUAAAAUCACGAUUUGGCCCCAAUUUAUUAAUUGUCUCAACGAUAAGGAAUUAUUUGUGAAUUUCUUCCAAUUAACGUCCUUUACGCAAGGGAAUUUUACCAAUUUUGAUAAAAAAUGGCCAAAAAGUGAUUCCUAGACGCUCAUAUCCUAAUGUGCAAAAGUUGCUUUAUUCUCUUUAAAAGGAUCGGAUCAUUACCUUACCUUGUGCACUACCCUUUGGAUGGUACGAGAAAGUAAACGUGCAGGUCUCAUUGGAUUAUAUAUCCGAGACAUGGGGUGGUUUAUUUCUAAAUGGGAUUCCCUAUGUGGCAUUCCCUUCAAAGGUAGAUGCAUGAUGCCAUUUUAUUAAAGCAAUGUAAAUAUGCAACAAAUAUGGCCUAAAGGGCAUAAAUAAUGCAUCGAGGGGAAGAGGUCUAAAAUGAAAUGUACUUAUUAAAAAUUAAGCAUAAUGACUGAAAUUUAAACAUGUGAGCUAUCUAGUGGGUAAGUCACUAAAAGAGUGCCAAAGAAGCUCUUUAUUGCUAAGGCACAUGAAUGCAAGCCAAGAAAACAAAAGAAUGGUUAGUGCAAUUGAUAGUUCACAUAACACAUUGGAGCAAUUAAGAAAAGAAAAUACAAUAAAAACAAGUAAAAGGGUGGAACCCCUUCCUCGUGCCUAAUGUGCUUAAAAGAGGGUGAGGCUGACUCUAACCUAGGAAAAUGCUAACAUGGAUGCAUGAGGCUGGGGCUAACUAAUGCAACUAGACUCGAUAAGGCUUCGGCUCCCAAGCCUUCAGACCUAAAGGCAAAGGGUCAUCACUCCCAAGACCUUCGAUCGGUGGCUCGAGUGAUCCCUUAGGUAGCGCUAUGGGCGCAGCGCACACCAGCCGCCUACCAGGCGAUCGAUCCUAAUCCUACAAGGCGGUGUGGGAAACGCCCACGAAAAAUAAAAAAAAAGGGAUAACAAUAAGUAAACGUGCACGUAUGAAGUGUUCCCUAUUUUGAGGGAAGGGGUUGAGAACCACGCGAGGCUCUAAAGGUGACACACACCCCCCCAAAUGCAAUGCAUAGCGCGAAAUCAUACAUAAAUAAAUCAUCCAUCCAUCCAAACAAUCGUAGGCGAAUGUGUGAGGAAGUGAGUUGAUAUGCGAAAUGCAAAAAUCCUAGAAAAGGGAAAAAUGCAACCCUAAACAUCCAAAUGUGAUAAAUAAAAAGGUUUAAAAGAAGAAAAAGAUUGAUUAAAUCAAAUUUGCUCGGACUCUCGAAUGUCCCCAGUGGAGUCGCCAACUGUCGCGCCCCAUUUUUUGAAUAAAUGAAUAAAUGGUUUAAAAAUGUAUUUUUGUGAUUGGAAAAUGAAUCGUGAUUUAAAAGAAAAAUGGGUCUAAAUGGGGUUUUGAAAUGCGACGAUUUGACCCAAAAUUAUAGUUCAAAAAGGGUUUUUUAUAUGAAAAAUGGAGUCGCCACUUGGUAUAGAGUUAGGGUGUACCAAGUCACCCAAAAAUGAAUUUUUAAGGAAAAAAGUAAGAAACCCUUUUGAACGACUCCUAGUCCACGCAAACAAAGAAAAAGGUUCGGGAGUCACAUUUGACGAAGGGGAAGGCAAGGAUAAAAAUCCAAGGCACCCCUUCGACCUAGCCAAGGCUAGUUGCGUGAUUUAAUCAAAGAUUUUCUUGUUUUAACCAAAGAAUUUAUUACAUUUGGAUGCACUACAUGAAUGCAAAAAGAAGGAAAAAAUGCAAACCUAAAUUCUAAAAUGUCUCUUGUAAGGUUUUUGGUCCCAACCACAUGAAUUGUGGCGGCCAAUAAAGGAAAACCUUAUAGAGGUCGAUUAAUGCAAAUGAUGGCUAAAGUGCCAGUGUGCAAGUGUAUAAAAAGGUGCACGUGUGAAAUGGUAUGAAAAAUCCAAGUGUUUGUGUGCAAGUGUAUGAAAAGGUGCAUGUGUGAAAUUGUAUGAAAAAUCCAAGUGUUUGUGUGCAAAUGAAGGGAUAAAAGGUGUACGUGUGCAAAUGGGAGGAAAAAAUGAAAGUGUAAUGAUAGAGUGGAUGCAUGAACCUAGGGAAUUCAUGCAUAAUGGGUACGGGGAGACCUAAAUCGUGACUCCAUUUGCCCUUUGAUAGAGAGAAUACAAGCGUGCUAAGGCUUAGAAAAAGCCACACUCGUCUAUAUCCCAUAUUUAAGGGGACUCUCAAGCAAAUGAACCCUAUAACUAGCAUGAAAUGCAAAAAUCCUAAAAUGGAGGGAAAAGGGGUUCGAGGAUCAUGCCAAAUGAUAAAACUAAGGAAAAUGCGUGAUAUGUGGUGAACAAGCAAAUGAUGCACUAACAAGAAAAAAAACCCUAAGGGUCUAGCGUUGGACUAGCCCAUUCUAUGAAUUCCGACUAGCGUUGGACUAGUGGAAACGAUAAAAGAAGCCACAACUAGCGUUGGACUAGUGUGGUGACGUACAUUCAUCCAUUCCAUUCAUCCACACUAUGGAAAGCAAGUAGACAUAUCAAAUACUCAUAAACACGUAGCACGUAACAUUUAGCAGGCUCGACUAGAUGCAAGGCCCUAAUAAAGCAAGUAACAAGUAACACAUAGGCAUGCAACCAAGCUAAUGAACUUACUACAUUCACUAACUAAAACAAAAGGGGAAAGGGAAAAUGGACCAAAUUGCUUGCCACAGCCCUAUCUAUUACAAGCCAAGAGGUGUACACAUACCCCAUUUUAAAGAACAAUUUAAUAAAAGCAAGAAGGAAUGAAAUAAUGGAACUAAAGAAUGGUAAUGAAAGCAAAUUAGGCAUGUGAUUCACACUUAGCACAUUGGAUCACAUAGGAGAGACAAAAGGGAUAAAAGAAAUUAUACCUCCCUUGAAAUGAAGCUCUAAUGGAGUGAAAUCAACUUAUUUACCCUCCAAAAUAAUAAAGGAGUCAAGGUACCAAUUUAUUUGGCAAAUAAUCACAAAGGAUAAAAAAUAAACAUGAAUUUGAACCAAUUAAAUCAUGCCAACGACCCACAUUUAAGAAGUCAAAAGAAAAAAGGACUUGAUUGCAAAAAUUAAUAAAGUCUUGGGGUCAAAAUUAAAGAAAAAUAAAGUUAAGGGACCCAAUUGCAAUUAAAUUAAGGACCGAAUUGAAAGUAGUUGAAAAUAUCCAGGACCACAGUAAAGUUAAAGGAAAAUACAGGGACUGAUCUGCAAAAUAGUUUUCUGGUUUCUUAAUGGAUCAAACCGUUGGCCAUUUCCUUUAUUUGUUUGGGCCAAAGCUUCCCAGCCCAACGGACAUCCAAAACAAAAGAGAAUGGGCCAUUUCAUUAAAUUGACUCAAAGAAAAAUCCAACAAACCUGAUGGGCUUUGAUUCUUUAGCCCAAGCCAAAACUCCAAAAGAAAUAAACUAAAUCCAUUUUUACAAACCCAAUCAAAUAGAAUUACCCACAAAACUUAAACCAUAAUACUAAACCUAAUAAACAUGAACAAAUCAACAAAAAUAUUAAACCACAAUUAUGGUCUAAAUUCCAGAAUUAAUCUGUCCAGAAAACCAUAUAAAAUAUGCAAACAGAGGACUAAGCUCAAAAGAAUGAAAUUAGUUCAGCUUUUCCAAUUUUUGGGGUCACAUCAGAACAGGGGGGAACUCGAGGGGUUCAUAUGCAACAAAACAGGGAUCCAAUUGAAGGAAUUACAAUAGCUUUGGGGGGCAAAUAUGAAGUUCCGAGACUUCUUUGGGGUUAAAUUACAAAGAAAUGGGAAAUGGGGGGACUGAAAUCGCAGAACUUGUACAAACAAUCGUCUUCUCCAAAACAAGUCCAGCAUCCGGCUGUUUUCAUCUUGCUUUGUCUACGCGUGAAUACCAGAAAAUUCUAUUCCGACAACUCUCCAAGGUGCAAUUCGCAAGCUCCCUCUUAUACAAAUUUCAGGCCAUUAAUUCAUAUCCAUACAAAGGGAAAAGGCAGAACCAGAAACGGAAAACAAAGACAGUGUCGCAUGCUAACAUAUCAGGAUCAAAAUUCUUCUUUCUACCCUUGAAAUCACUAUUAUGUUCUGAAAAGCAUUGAAAUUGCUGUCCAUUUGUUUCUUCACAUGCACAAACGCAGACCAGUCAUUUUCCGGGCAUAACAUUCAGUCGGGUAUUUCAUCGAAUACCAAACGGGCACACAAAAUUGUAGCUAGUUUCUGCUCGAAUGAAUCUAUAACCCGCCCAAAAUUUUUAUUAGCAACUCAAGACAACACAACCCAAUGAAUCCAGAGAGCAUUCAUGCCCGAAAUUGUAAAUAAUCAAUGAGAAAAAUGCAACAAUAACUCUCUGCUUUGAAAGUCUUAAAGACUCAGAAAAAAAAUAAAUCGAACAUAGAAGGCUGGCUUACCUCAUUUCCUGGGUGAAAAUCUGCUGGUGGCAGUGAAGGAUUGACGGUAAGGUGGUGGGUUCCAGCGCUACGGCAAUCAGCAAUUCCUCCGCCCCAUUUUUCUGCCUGAAAUUCCUCCUCCAGAUUCCAAAUUUCAGCCACAAUUCCUUACAACGGUUUCUUACGGCGACAAUUCAUGGACAGCAGCGGCGGGUUCAAGCGAAGGGGAGGCUCCGGUUCUUGGGCAAGCGGUGGAAGUGUUGGAUGGGCAGUCGGUUUUGUAAAGGGGCAGAGAGAACCCCUGCUAUUCCGACGGUUGCGAUGGCAACAAUGGCAGCGGAAGUUGAAAGGUGGCGGCGGGGCGGUAGAAAGUAGUGAUGGCAGACAGCAAUGGCAGUGAGAUGCGGACUAGUGGUGGUUUGAGCAGACAGCGUGAAGGGCUUGCGUUGGAAACGGGAAUUAUCUUGGGAAAUUGGGGGAAUUCGAAGAAGGAUGGUAGAGAGCGAGUGGUAGCAGCCGGUUGAGAUAGGGGGGAAUUUUACAGUGGUGGUUGGAGAAUUUUCUUUCAUCGGAUGAUUCAAGUUUAAGCCCCCAUUUCUUUUUCCGAUUAGUUUUCUGGUUUCUUCCUCCCAGAUUGCAGCCUUGCAUUUUUCGCCUUCACGAAGUUCCCCUUUUCUUCCCAUGAAGUUCCUUGUCCGCCGCCCCUCUUUUUCUCUGGUUUCUCUUUUCUUUUUGCUUUUUUUAGCUCUCCUUCUUAGCCGAGAGCUUUCUCGUUCUUUUUCUUCUCUCCGUUCCCCUCGUUCUUUCUUUGUUUUUUUUCUUCGCCAAAAGCCUCCGCAGACAUCCCCUGUAUUUCUAUGUCCGCCCAAAAAAAUUUAGCCGCCGUAAGCCUCCCCUGCUGUUUUUUCCUAUCCUCUGUUUUUGCUCUUUCGACACCUCUCGGCCUUUUUUCUUCUUACCCUCUCUCAAUCUCCUUCUCAGCUAAAACCUAGCCGACCCCUUCUAGAUUCAUCCUCUCCUCCAGGUGUCCUAGACACCUGGCCUCUUCAGCCAAAAAUUUCCCCCAGGACCUCUCGCAACUUUCAUUUGCAAGCUGCGGCAAAAAUGCAGCUUUUGGCUUCUCUUUUCUUUUUCUUUUUUUUUUUUUUUUUUUAAAAUUAAUGAUUUAACAAAAAUAAUAGUAAAAAAAAAAUACUAAAAUAACAAAAUUACCAUUUUCGACCUUUUCUUUCAUUUUUCCAUUUUUCAUCAUUUUCCAUUUUUUCAAAAAUAAAUUAACAAAAAUAAACCGAAAUGCCAAAAGAUUGAAUUUGAACGUAUUUUUGUGAACAAUUUUCCUUUUUUUUCUCUUUUUCAUGAUUUUCUUUUUCCCCUUUUUUCAUUUUUCACUUUUCCUUUUUUUUCUUUUUCUCUAAAAAUUCUACGCUAAACUUACAAAAUAAAAACUACAAAAACAACUAAAAACUAAAAAGGGAAUAAAACUAAAAUAAAAUAAAACCUAAAAGGGCUAGACAAACACAUAAUGAACUAAAACGCAAAUCAUCUAAACACAAAGCAUUAAUUCAAAAUUUGGUGUCUACACUACUUAAACUGUGACGGCCCCACCUCCCCCUAAGGCGAACCAAAGGGUUCGGCGGCCGCCUGCCCAACUCUCGCCGGGACUCAGUCGUUCACCACAAUCCUCAAAUAUUACAAUGUAAAUCUCCAAUAUACAUCAAAUUCUCCAAAAAUUACAUAUCAAAAGUGAAGCGGAAACAAUUCCCAACUAUAUAUAAAAUGAUUCCAACUCCAAAUUAUACAAGAUAUAUGCCAUCCAGUCACGUGAACAAGUACUACAAGUCCUUCCUUCGCACGAGCCCUGUGGAGGGGAAUAAAAUAUUUUUGGGGUGAGCUAGAAGCUCAGCGAGUAACCAUUAAAAUCAGUAAUUAAAUCGAUUUCACAAUAGUUCAUUUCAAUGAUGUCAUAAAUCAAUGAUGUCAAGAAUCAAAUGAUAAGUCCAGAAACAAUUACAACAUUUACAAUACAUUAAAAUGGAGUAUCAAUAAUUCAAGGAACAUUUACAAUGGAAAGCGAUAGUAACAUUCAUUAAAAGGAUAUGGGCUCACAUGGAGCUAUUCGUUUGUUCGUUCGUUCCCCUGACAUUUCCCCUUAUUCCUCCAAUCGUUUGAAAAUACAUUUUUUUGUAAGUAGAAUCCCUCGUUCAUCCUUUUGUUCGUUCAUCCCCUUUUCCGGACGUUGACCGGACUCCACCCAUCCGACCAUUGGCCGGACUCCACCCAUCCGGACGUAGCCGGACUACAAGGUAAUACUCGAGUAUACCAAAUUCACCCAGGGUCACCCUCUAUCGCCCGACCGAGUCCGCUUCUGGCUCGAGUCGAUCGGUAACAAAGGGCAGUGGCCAGUUCAGCCAAAUGGCUUACAUUCAUGCGCAACUAGCAUUUAAUCAUUAAUCAUUGAAAAUUUCAUAUUUAUUUAGGUCGAGUGCGAUAAAGUACACACUCGCCUAGAAAACUCGUUUUAACAAUCAUUGAAAGCACUUAACACAUUAUCAAUCAAUAAUAACAAGCCAAUAAAUCAAGGAAUACAGCAAUAAGGAACACUCAUAUGCAAGCACGCAUGAUAUGCAAGAAAACAGUUCAAAAGUAACUUUGGAAACAGUUUAAAGGUAAAUAAUGCAAGAAAACGGUUCAAAAGUAACUGUGGAAAUAGUUCAAAAGUAAAUAAUGCAGGAAACGGUUCAUAAAUAACUUUAGAAAUAGUUUGAGGUCACUCACCUCCAUGGCUCAGAAACCAUCCAUCAUAUAUCAUUGCCUUGCUCAAAUCCAAGUCUUAGAUCACAAACUCAAUGCAAACAAGUCCUUUAAAAGUUCGGACAGCACUUCCCUAAAUUUGCUUACUUUUCCAGCCAUCAUGGCUUCAUUAUUUCCUCAGCCAGUCCCAAAGGUACACACACAACAACAAGUUCAUCCAAUAGCCAUUCAGCAAGCUCCAAGUAGUACAAAGACAAGUCAAGCUAGGAAAAAGUCCGGAAAUGAAAGUUAAGCUCAAAACAAGAAAAACAGGUUUUGACGUCAUUUUGCAGUAAUGGUACCAAAGGCACUACGGUUAUCGGAUGAAGGUUCAAGACCCACCGUUUUGAAGCUAAGAGAUAGGGUUACAAUAUUACAGAAGGUCACUCAACCCAGUUUCGAGUGUAACCAGGUCAAAAACACAAGAAACUACACCAGAAUAACAAAAACAGCUUCACAGAACGCAUUCUAGCGGAAACAUCAUAACUCAGGUUCUCCAAGUCCAAAACCAGAAAUUCUAAAACCAGCUGAUAGCUAAGAAACAGGGAUAAAUUUCAUCAGAAGGCCUCAACAAGAGCCGUCCGUAUCCUUUUACCGACUUGUUUUACUUCUUAAUUGUGUACUUGAAAUGAAAGAUUAUGCUUAUGUGAUCUUUGUUGCUUAUGUGGUAGUAACUCACUGGGCUUAAGCUCAUUCUGUUUCAUUUGUUUUCCUUACAGGAAAAUGAUCACUUUUGGAAAGGUUGUACUAGCAAGUUGAGCUCAUGUAAAUGUAUCUUUUGAAUAGCUCUUCGAAUGAAACCCUAAUGUGUAUUGGGUUCACUUUCUUUUGAUUGGAAAACCGAACAUGUAUAUUCGUAAUGAAUGGUUUGAUAUGCCGCUUUGGCUUGAAAAUGUUACAUUUCAAUGUAUGUAUGUUUGGUUGAUAUUUGGUUGAAUUUCGGAUCAACUCGUAUUUCAAACGGCAAAAGAAAAAUUUUGGCUACUCUCGGCCUAGUAUCUGGAUUCUGACGUGGCCGGUGCUGUUCUUCAUCGGCUUCGAUUUUUCUUCGUUUUUUUUUUAUUUUUAUUUUGUGAUUUUGACUUGGUUGCGCGCAUCGGUAAGUUUCGGAACGUAUUAGAUCGACGUAAACUGAUCCGUUAGUCCUGGCGAGAGCUGGGCAGGCAGUCCGCUAACCCCUUUGGUUCGCCUUAGGGGAAGGUGGGGCUGUUACAUUUCUAUACUAUUUCAUUGGUGAUAAAAAGGGCUAUAGCAAAAAAGUUGUUUUGGGUGGCAAUGUUAAUUAUCACUAGUUGUUCUUUCCUUUCAUUUUGAAUGUUUUUUACUUUUCCAUUGUUGCUCAUUUUCACCUUGUGGUCUUAUUUUUUCCCCCAAUUCCACUGCUCUCUAAUACUUCUUUCACUGCUCUUGCCUUUUAUUACCCUUGCUUUUUAUUAUUAGCUUAGUUUUCUUUUGUACUAUUACUUAUAAACCAGCUCUCUAAUGAUAAUAAUUGUUCAUUGUUGGCUCAUGCAAAUUUUUUGCUCUUGGUAUGCUUCUUCUUCCAUUUUGUUGCUCUAUUCAAAUUUGAUAUUUGAUUCUACUCCGACACUUGUUAAAAUGUCCAAGGAUUUAUUGUCUUCUCUUAGUUUAGAUUCAUUUAAUUUUUAUAGCUAUUGUGCCUUUAGUAUGCUUUCUUGAACCAUUUGUCCAUUUUCACCCUAACUUACCAUUUUGUUAUAGUUUAUUUCCUUACUAUACCGUGUUUUCUUUUCCUAGUACUUCUUAUAGUUUCUUCACAUCUAGAAUUUAAAGAUUUUUCCUAUCGCUGGAUAGUAUGUGAGUUUAUGCUUUUAUUAUUCUAGUCUUCAAACUCAAAAUGCAUAACUAGUAUAGAGCCUCCUUAAACCAUGUGCUCAGGAUACCUUUUUUGUGGUUAUAUGUAAUGUCUAUAUGGAAGAAAAACUGUUGUUCAAAUGGAUGAAAUCUUGUCGUUAUCGAUUGAGUGUUCUGGCUUGCUUGCCUCUAAUAAUGUGUAAAUUGUUUCUACCAGUUUUGCUGAUAGAGAUAUCUUUUAAUAUUAAUCCAUGCUCUUUGACACAUUUUUUAGGUCCCUCAUUUGAUUCUCCUAAUUCUGCCAAAGGUAUGUUUGCAUUGUUUCUUUUCUUAUAUCUUAAAUAUUAUUGAAAUGUUCAUGAGCUUUUGUUUGUUUGUUUAUGUGAGAACCCGAAAAUUAUUUUAAAAUUUUUCCUAUUUUUGGAAAAUUAAUUUAUAUUUCCUUUCAAUUUUACUUUACUUGCUUAUUUGCUAGCCUUAAUUUGACAGUGAUUUUAAAGGUUAAGUCAAGAUUUUUAUCAUUCCCUUUUAUAUUUUAGUGCACAUUAAUUUUUUGUAGAGCAUAAAGGUAGUUUGACUGAUUAGUGAGAUGUAUGCAUUAAAAUAUGGUGGGCGAGAACAAGUGUGGUACUAGAGGAAUUAUGUGAUUAGAAGUAUUAAAAGUGUAUUAGAGAAACCCUAGUUAUCUUGGAGAUUAGAGACAAAUAAGAGAGACAAAGAGAUAGGCUUAAACCAUUUGCCGCCAUUUGUCACUCAUUCCUCAAAGUUUGACUAGGACCUUUUUGACCAAAGACUAGUCCUUGCUCUUAUCUUGGAAAAUUGAAGAAAAAACCAUCAUCUUCCUUACUUCUCUUGGCUGACUUUCUUAAGCUAGAAAAGAGAGAAAACUUCUCCAAGUUUCAUCUUGAUUCCUAGCAAGAUUUUGUGGGAAAAUCAACGUCAAACCCUAAAUCCAUCCAUAGAAGGUUGGACCAAAGAAGGAAGGAGGUUGGUGUGGAGUUAUUUUGGGGAAAAGAAAGUUGUGAUUUGCUACUCUCCUUAGUAUUUAAAGUACUCUUGGCAAGGAACUACUUUUUUCCUUUUAAUCUUGCAUUUUAGUGGAUAUAUUACUUGAAUAUGGAAGUUUUAUGGAAGAUUUCAUGGUUUUGCUUACUAGCUUGCAAUUUUCAGCUUUGAAAUGUAUUGGACAGCUUUGAUAUGAAUGGUUUAGCUUUGAUAUGAGGUUGGAUAUGAAAUUUUAGCUUUGGUAUGCGGUUAUCUAGCUCCUAUAUUCGAAUUUCCAACUUUAGUGGCUAAUUUCCAGCUUUGAGAUGAAAAUUUCAGCUUUGGUGUAAGUGACUUGGAGCUUGAUAUAUAUGUUCAAAGUUGAUAGUUUUGUGGCUUAGUGUAUGCACCAUUUGUCCCUACAAUAUGUGUCCUUGAUUGAGGUUCAUUUACUAUGAAACUAAGAUUUGAAUUGGAUGAUUAACUUGAAGAGAUAUGGAGACAUAUUGCUGGAUUUUCUCCUUGUUGGUCAAGUGAAGGUUAAGGUGUGAAUUUAGGGUAUUUUAUUUUUCUCUUGCAUAUGAUUUUACUCAAAACACUUGUUACAAUUUAUUUCUUUGCAUGUGUGUUAGUUUUGAGCCAAAACAAAAAGGUUUAAGAAGGGAAAAACUUAGUUUUCCAAACUAAUUGCUUGUUGGAAAAAUUUCGCAGGAAGCCCUGCACAACUUUGGGAAAUUGGCUAUAACUUCGUAUAGGAAAGUCGGAAUUGAGUUCCAUUUGUUGCGUUUGAAACUAGACUCAUAGAGCUUUCAACUAUAUAAAAUUCAAGGUUUGGUUCAACUCCUAUAAAUACCAGUAAAUCUGCAAAAUUUCUUGAAAACCAUGACUUUUCUAUUUUUGCACAUGAAACAGCAGUGAGUUUGAACUGAAAUUUGACUAACAUAAAGAUAUCUUCUAAAAUCCUAUUAUUGCUUCAAGUUUAUUUUCUAAUGGUGUAAGUUUUGUGAUUUUUUGACCUACAAAACUCAAGUUAUGCUUUUUCAAAGAAUAUCACCAAAGCUAGGAAUUUUGUCAAAUGAAUUGAGUGGGUCCUGGAAAACUUUUCUAGGUCUUAAAAUCUCGAGCUCAAAUUGAGAAGUAUAUGAAAUACCUUGGAAUACUAGACGUGUAUGUUUUAGCUAGUUGAAUCUACUAAGUUUAAAUCUAUUGUGAUUGUGAAUCUUGCCUCAGAGUUUGGUAGCGAUCAAGGUUGUCAUCCAGAGAGUUGACGUUUAAUCUACCGAUGUCAGUGAGUGUUCCUUGCAUGUUGUUCUUCUAAUGACUAUGUGAAAUGUUGUGAAUGUUUGCUAAACUAUUAAAUGCUUAUCAAUGAUUGUUGAAUGGAUUUUCAAUGGGCGAGUGUGUACUUUAUCGCAUUCGACCUAAGUGAAUGUGAAUUUUCAAUGAUCAAAUGAUUGAACAUCACUUGUGCAUGAAUGUAAGCCUUUAGUUGAACUGGGCUCUUGCCCUUUGUUGCUAGCCUAAUCGAGCCAGAAUCAGACUCGGUUGGGUAGGUUGUUGACCCUGGGCCACUAUCUUGGUAUACUUGAGUAUAACCACGAAGUUUGGUGGAGUACUGGCUAGUGAAUGAAAUGCAAUGAAUGAAAUGACUGACUGAAUAAAAUAAUCACUGUUGGAGUUUUAUUUUCACACGUUGGAGGUAUAAGGGAGAAAUGGUCGGAGACUGAAUGACUGAAUGGCUCUAAUUGAGCACGUAUCCUUCCAAUGAUUGAAUGUUUAUUUCUUGAAUGACUGUUAAUUACUGUGCAAAGUGUGCAAAUUGUUAAAUGUAAUAUUUCUAUGUUUUAUCUACCUGAUUGCUUGUUUGGGAAUCUCACUGGGCUUUUAGCUCAUUCCUUUAGUUUUGUUUUCUUUACAGGAGUGGACGUUGGAGCAAGUAAGCGUGAAAUAGUGUGAAUAAUCUUCAUGUACUAGUACUUUUGUAGAUGAAAUGUAUUUGGAACUUUGUUAAUGAAAUCCUACGUUUCACUUUUGGGUUAUAAAUUAAGUUGAAAUUCUUGGAUGAAUGGAACUUUUUAUGUUAAUUUUGAGGCGUGAAAGACUAUUUCAAGAAUGUUAGUGAGUGAUUCCUAGCAAAAGUUGGGCAAGCGGUCCGCUAAACCUUUUGGUUCACCUUAGGGGGAAGUGGGGUCGUUAAAGUUUAUAUUCAUUGUCUCUUCUAUUAUUUCCCUUUUGUUAAUCAUUCUGCUACUGUACCUGGAGCUUUUGUGCCUCUUUUACAGCUAUCAUAGCUGUUAAUUCAAGUGUCUACUACAAUUAUUUAACAUUUAAUAGGCUGGAAUUUGUUUGCCUAGCUUAUAUUUAGUUGCUACUAGUGAUUGAUGUUGUAGCUAGAAUAUCAAUAAGUUAUGUGAGAACCCGUAAAACCCUAAUAUUUUUCCUAGAGUUUAUGUCCCCUUAAUUGCAUGUUUUCUGCAUUUUCUGGCUUAGAAAUAAUUUCCUGGUGAAUUUUAUGAGCAAUUAUAGUUUUAAGAUGAUUUUUCUAGCAUUGGAGAAAUUUUAGGAAGUUAAGAGUAAAUAGUGGACGUGGGACCCACUAGUGCGAAAAGUUCGGAAAAAUUCGGCCAAUUAGGUUAAAUUCCGGAUACUGUGUAAAAUUUAUCGGGUGUUAAGAGAUAAGUAGGGUGUGUGAAGUGAUUGAUGUGAGAGAGGAAAGAAAGAUAAGAAUGCAUUUAUGAAGGUGACAAGUGUCACCUUCUUAUUGGAUGCCUUUUAAGAAUUACUAUUCACAAUUUUGACUUUUUUGACCAAAGGUUCAAUAUCCAAAAAUUGCACAAAAUUCACCAUUUUUCUCUCCUUGUUGGCCGGCCACCUUGAGCAAGAAAGGAAGGAGAUUUCUUCAAUUUUCAAGCUUCUACUUGGUGCAAAUCAACCAAAAACAUUUGCUUCCAUCCAUUUCACUCCAUAAAAUUCUUCCUUCUAGAGCUAGUAAGUUGUUUGGUGAACUUUGUUUGAAGGAUUAAGGUGCCCAACAUCUUCUUCACUCUUGGUUCUUGGUAAGUGAAGCUUGAAACACCCUACUACACCUAAUGAUGCUUAUGUUGUGCUUAUUAGUGAUAAGAGUGCUAAAAUUUCUGGUUUUUAUCUUGGUUUGAAUUGUUUUGGUGAAGUUUUUAUUUUAUUGGGAUUUUUUCUGGUUUAAUAUGAUCUUGAUGUUGGGGGCUUGUAUGAUGAUUUGCAAUGGACUAAAAUGGCUCUAGUGGAUGUGAAAUGUGGUUAAAUACAAUCAAUUUUGGAUUUGGUGUGAAAUUUGAAAAGUUAGGGUUCUUGAACCCCAAUUCUGUCCGGUUUUAGAUCACUGGGUUAGAGGCCGAAUUAGACUUUGCUCAAAACAUGAACGUUGUAGGUAUUGAUGUGUUUGAGGUGCCUGUAAAAUUUCAGGUCAUUUGGAUGAGUGUAGAGUGAGUUAUGCCGUUUUUACUGUAGCUGUUCUGCUUUGAUCAGAAUGCGAAAACUGCGAUAGUAAUUGGACAUUUUGACUGGAAUUGGUUUGGAUUUUGAAGUUGGUGUCUUCUGAUGAAAUGUAGUUGGAUGACUUAGCUAACUUAUGCCUUUGUAAUUUUGGCAUUUGGACUUGUAUGGACUGAGAUAUACCGAUUACAGUUUUUUGUGUUUUGCGAACCUGUUUUAGGAAUUCUGGGUUAGUAUUUGGCAUUUUCGACCUAGUUAAGCUAGGAACUGGAUUGAGUGACCUUCUACAUUGUUGUAGCCCUGUUUCAUAGCUUCGAAACGGUGGGUCUUACACCCCCAUCCGAUAACCGUAGAGAAUUUUACACCAUUACCGCAUAAUAAGGGCAAAACAGUUUUCUAUUUGGGGCCAAGGCUAAGGCCAUUGUCUAAUUUCUGGUUUGCUAUUAUGCUCAUUUAUGCAUAUGAAACACUAUUGGGGUUGUGUUUAGCAUUGCUAUAUGACUCGUUAUCGAGUCUCAUUGCAUUUGUUGUGUGAUUCUAGGGCGUGACGGUAGCUCACGACGUCUUGGUGACCGUGGUGUAUGAAACACCAUUUUCUUACUUGGUGAGUAUACUACUCACUUACUUGUUAUAAUGUGGCUUUGUGCUAUGUGUAUUUGAUGCCUUGAAGGCUUACUUGGUUAUUGGAAAUGAUUGAGGUGAGGGUGUACUUGAUCGCCCUCACCCCUUGUGAUUUUAUUCAUGGCUAUUGACUGUUUUACUGAAAUACUGCACUGGAUAUAUGAGAUACUGCAUUCCAUUCAUGGAAACUAAUUUGAUGUCGUUGGACGAGUAUCCAAUGGCUUUACUGCAUUUAUGAGCUCAACCCCGUAUGGUAGUUAAUUGGAUCGAGCCAGCGAGGGCUUGGUCGUGAAAAUUAUCAUGCCACGGGGACUGUACUGGGGAACCUUGUGGUAAUGAGACCCUUGGUUCCGGUAAACUCGAGUAUUACCAAAAGCUACUGAAAUGGAGUGCGGGCCCGGUUGGGGUAUGUUAGGUGGAAGGAUUGGAAGUAAAGGGCGGUCUACGGUUUGGUACUUUUAACAUUGACGGAGAGUCAAUGAGGUUGGAUCAAGAUUGCAAGCGUGGAAAUGGGCUCUUGAGAGCCGACCGUAUCCUUUUACCGUUUUGCUUCAUUGCUCAUUUGUGCACUUUAAAUGAAAGUUCAUUCUUAUAUGACUUUGAUUGCUUAUUGGGUGGUAUACCACUGGGCUUUAGCUCAUUCCGUGUUAUUUGUUUUCCUUACAGGGUGAUAAUUACUUUUGAGAAUGGGUUGGAUAGUCAAUUGCCGAAUUGAGCAUGUAAAUGUCUUUUGUAUUGCUCUUGAAGUGAAACCCUAAUGUAUAACGGGUUCAUUUCCUUUUGAUAGGCAAAUCGAAUGUGUACUUCCUUAGUGAAUGGUUUUGGCUUGCCGUUGUGGCUUGUAAAUGGCUAAUGUUAUGUUGUAUAUGUUUUUCGAUGCUUGGUUGGGUUUCGGACGGGUCGGUUACUAUUCAUGGCCGACUCUGGAGUUCGUUUCUUUUAUUUUGGGAUAUUUUGCCCUUUUGCCUUGUUGCGCGCGUUACAAGUUUCAAACGUGAUAGAUCGCUUUAUACUGCACCGUUAGUCCUGGCGAGACUGGGCAGGCAGUCCGCUAACCUCUUUGGUUCGCCUUAGGGGAAGGUGGGGCUGUCACAAGUUAGCCAGAAAGUCCACACCUUAAUGAUUGCAGAAGAAGGCAUAGAUCUUUCAUGGUGAACAUACAUUGUGACAGCCCCACCUUCCCCGAAGGCGAACCAACGGGGUUAGCGGGACUGCCUGCCCAGCUCUCGCCAGGACUAACGGUACAGUUUACGUCGAUCUAUUACGUUCCGGAACAUACCAUUGCGCGCAAACAAGCCAAAAUCGCAAAAUAAAAAAAACGAAAAUCGAAGCCGAAAUGAAUAGUGCAGGCCACGUCAGAAUCCGGCCAGAAUCGGGCCGGAUUUUCGACCGGAUUCUCGGCCGGAUACAAGGCCGAGAGCAAAAUAAAAAUUUUCAAAACUCCCUCGCAAUCCGGCCGGCAAUCCGGCCAAGAUUCCGGCUGGAUUGUCUGGCCGGAUACCGGCCAGAGAGCAACUGGCCGGAUUCUUUUUUUCCCAAGGCCAAUCCGGCCUUCAAUCCGGCCAGUUUCUGGCCGGAUUCCUGGCCGGAUUUGGCACUGUUCAUCCACGCCAAAAUUUUUUUCCCGUUUUCGUUUGAAGUCGUCUUGAUCCGAAAUUCAUCCAAAUCACAGCCAAGCAUAUAUAUUCAUUGGAAAUCAACAUUUACAAGCCAAAUGGCGUACAAGCUAUCCCAUUAGUUCAUACCAAUACAAUUAGGCCAACACAAGCCCUUCAUUAAAGAAAGCUAUACACUUAGGGUUAUCACCCUCAAGGAGCUAAACAAAAUUACAUGUACAAGAGCUCAACUUGUCAUCCAACUAUCAAAAUCUUUCCAAAAGUGUUCAUUUUCCUAUAAGGAAAACAAAUGACACGGAAUGAGCUAAAGCCCAGUGGUAUACUACUACAUAAGCAACCAAAGUCACAUAAGGAUGAACUUUCAUUUAAAGUGCACAAAUAAGCAGUAAAACAAAACGGUAAAAGGAUACGGUCGGCUCUCAAGAGCUCAUUUCCACGCUUGCAAUCUUGAUCCAACCUCAUUGACCCUCCGUCAAUGUCAAAAGUAUCAAACCGUAGACCUCACUUUACUUCCAUUCCUUCCACCCAACAUACCCCAACCGGGCCCGCACUCCAUUCAGUAAUAUUUUUGGUAAUACUCGAGUAUACCGGAACCAAGAGUCUCAUUACUACAAGGCUCCUCAGUACAGUCCCCGUGGCAUGACAAUUUUCACGACCAAGCCCUCGCCGGCUUGAUCCAAUUGACUACCAAACGGGGUUGAGCUCAGUGAUACAGUAAAGUAGUCGGACAACCGUCCAAACAACAUCAAUUCAGUUUCCAUAUAACCAGUGCAGUAAUACACUAAUACAGUAAAUAGCCACGAAUGAAAUCACAAGGGGUGAGGGCGGUCAAGUACACCCUCACCUCAAUCAUUUCCAAUAACCAAUUAAGCCCUCAAGGCAUCAAAUACACAUAGCACAAAGCCACAUUAUAACAAGUAAGUGAGUAGUGUACUCACCAAGUGAGAAAGUGGUGUUUCAUACACCGCGAUCACCAAUAUGUCGUGAGCUACCGUCACGCCCUAGAACAUGUAAACAAAUGCAAUGAGACUCGAUAACGAGUCAUAUAACAAUGCUUAACACAACCCCAAUAGGGUUUCAUAUGCACAAAUAAGCAUGAUAGCAAACCAGAAAUUAAGAAAGGGCUUUAACUUAAGCCUUGAUAAGAAAACCGGUUUUGAUGUCAUAAUGCGGUAAUGGCACAACUCUCACUACGAAUAUCGGUUGGGGUUGUAAGACCCACCGUUUCGAAGCUAUGGAACAGGGCUACAACAAUGUAGAAGGUCACUCAAUCCAGUUCCUAACACAACUAGGUCAAAUAUGCCAAAUACUAACCCAGAAUUCCUAAAACAGGUUCACAAAACACAGAAAACGGUAAUUGGUAUAUCUCAGUCCAUACAAGUCCAAAUGCUGAAAUUCCAAAGGUAUAUGUUAGCUAAGACAUUCAGAUACAUUUCAUCAGAAGACACCAACUUCAAAAUCCAAACCAAUUCCAGUCAAAAAGGCCAAUUACUACAGCAGUUUUCACAUUCUGCUCAAUGCAGAACAGCUACAGUAGAAACGGCAUAACUCACUUCAUACUCAUCCAAAUGACCUGAAAUUUUACAGGCACCUUAAGCACAUAAAUACCUACAACUGUCAUGUUUUGAGCAAAGUCCAAUUCGGCCUCUAACCCAGUGAUCUAAAACCGGACAGAAAUGGGAUUCUAUGAACCCUAACUUUUCAAUUUUCACACCAAAUCCAAAAUUGAUUGCAUUUUCCUAUCCAAUACACCUCAUAGAGUCAUUAUCAACCAUUAUCAUUCAUCAUACAAGCCCCCAACAUCAAGAUCAUAUUAAUCCAGAAAAAUUCCCAAUAAAAUAAAAACUUCACCAAAACAAGCCAAAUCAAGAAACAAAUCAUAUAUUCCUUCACUCAUGCCACCAUUAAGCAUAAUAUAACCAUCAUUAGGUAUAGGGGAGAGGUUGUAGCAUCACUUACCAAGAAACAAGGGAAAGAGAGAUUGUAGACACCUUUGCACUUCAAAACAACUUCACUACAACCCUUACUAGCACUAGAAGAUAGGAUUUUAUGGAGUGAAAUCUAGUCUAAGCUUUGUUUAUGGAAGAUUGAGUGAGAUGGAAGCUUGAAAUUUGAUGAACUUUCUCCCUUGUGGAGCUUGGGAUGGCCGGCCAAAGAGAAAGAAAAAUGAGGAAUUUUUUGUGAAUUUUUGGAGAUAUUAACUAAUUGGGUCAAAAGUCAAAAAAUUUGUCAAAAGGUGAAUGGUGUUUCUUAAGUCAUAACCAAUGAGAAGGUGACAUGUGGCAUCUCAUUAAAUGCCUUCCUAUCUUUCUUUUCUCUCUCACAUCAAUCACUUCACACACUCUACUUAUCACUUAACACCCGAUAAAUUUUACACAGUAUCCGAAACUUAACCUUAUUGGCCGAAUUUUUCCGAACUUUUCGCACUAGUGGGUCCCACGUCCACUAUUUACUCUUAAUUUUCUAAAAAUUCUCCAAUACUAUAAAAAUCAUCUAAAAACUAUAAUUGCUCAUAAAAUCUACCAGGAAAAAUAUUUCUAAGCCCGAAAAUGCAGAAAACAUGCAAUUAAGGGGAAAAUAAAUCCUAGGAAAAUAAUUAGGGUUUUACGGGUUCUCACACUCUCCCCCCCUUAAAAGAAUUUCGUCCUCGAAAUUUCUCACCUUAAUUCCCGAAAAGGUUUGGGUACUUCUUUCGCAUUUCCUCUUCUAUCUCCCAAGUAGCUUCCUCAACUCCGUGGUUUCUCCAUAGCACUUUCACUAGUGGAAUCCGCUUAUUUCGAAGCUCUUUAACUUUUCGAUCGAGUACUUGGACUGGUUUUUCUUCAUAAGCCAGUGAUUCAUCCACUUCAAUCUCUUCCGGUUGCAAUACAUGGGAUGGGUCAGGAUGGUACUUCUUUAGCAUCGAGACGUGAAAUACAUCGUGGAUUCGAGAUAGACUGGAUGGCAGUUCCAAUCGAUACGCGACCGCUCCAACCCUCUGAAGGAUCUUGUAGGGUCCAACGUAUCGCGGUUGAAGCUUCUUUCCUUUCCCUGCUGUAAGACUUCGUAAGGGCGUGAUCUUGAGAAAUACAUGAUCCCCAACCUCAAACUCCAAGUCUUUUCUUCGGUUAUCCGCGUAGCUCUUUUGGCGACUUUGGGCAGUUUGAAGUCGUUGCCGUAUCAACUUAACUUUCUCGUGAGCCUCUUCCAUCCAUGGAAUGGUUGCCGGGUCCAGUGCUUUCUUUUCGCCAACUUCAUCCCAGUAAAUCGGCGACCGGCACUUGCGUCCGUAGAGAGCUUCGUACGGAGCCAUUUGAAUCGACGAAUGAAAACUAUUGUUGUACGCGAACUCUACCAAGGUCAUGUGCUGACCCCAACUGCCUCCAAAGUCCAGAAUACAGGUUCGUAGCAUGUCCUCCAGAGUUUGAAUUGUCCGUUCUGACUGGCCAUCUGUCUGAGGGUGAUAGGUUGUGCUCAAGUUGAGUUUCGUCCCCAGGGUUUCUUGGAAUUUCUGCCAAAAUCGUGAUACAAACCGUGGAUCCCGAUCGGAAACGAUGCUCACAGGAACACCGUGUAGUCUUACUACUUCGUCCAUGUACAGUCGGGCCAACUGAUCCAUUGAAUACUUCAUGUUCACCGGCAAGAAAUGGGUCGACUUGGUUAAUCGAUCAACGAUCACCCAAACGGCAUCGUGUCCCCUUUGCGUCCUCGGUAAACCGGAAACGAAGUCCAUUGUGAUGUUUUGUCACGCCCCGAAAAAAAAAUGAGUUUGAGAACCCGGAAAUUUUGUAAUUUUCUAGGGUUUAUUUUUUUAAUCGCCCGUUUUUCUACAUUUUCUUGAUUAGAAAAAUUCCCCAGAUAAAGUUUAUGAGCAAAAAUAGUUUAAAAAUGAUUUUCCUAGUAUUGGAGAGUUUUUAGAAAAUUAAGAAUAUAUAACGGACGUGGGACCCACAAGUGCGAAAAGUUCGAAAAAAUUCGGCCAAUUAGGUUAAAUUCCGGAUACUGUGUAAAAUUUAUCGGGUGUUAAGGGAUAAGUAGAGGAUGUGAAUUGAUUGAUGUGAGAGGAAAAAGAAAAGAUAAGAUUGCAUUUAUGGAGGUGACAAGUGUCACCAUUGUAUUGGAAAUAGCUUAUGACUUACUAUUCAUUUUCUUGACUUUUUGACCAAUUGCUUAAAUAUCUUAAAAAUCACACAAAAUUCAUUCUUGUCUUCAACCUCUUGGCUGAUUCUCUCUCUAGCAAAGAAGGAAGAAAAAACCUCUUCAAAGUUUGGCAAUUAUCUAGCUCAAAUCCUCCAAAACACUUGCUUGAUCUAGUUUCUACUCCAUAAAACCUCUUCUUUUAGUGAUAGUGAGUUGUUUGGUGAAGUUGUUUGGAAGCUUAAGGUGACAAGUAGCUCUCCCUCUUGUUUUGCUAAGGUAAGUGGUGGAUGAACACCUCUCCUUCCUCUAAUGAUGUUCAAUUCAUGAUUAGUUUGUGUUAUAAGAUGCAAUUUCAUGGAUUAUUUUUUGAGUUUGGUUGAAUUGGUGAAGUUUUAUUAUUUUUGGGAAUUUUUCUGUUUUCAUAGGGAUAUGAUUGGGUGGUCAUGUAUGAUGAUUGGAAAUGAUGUUUAAUGACUCUAGGAGGUGGGAAAAGUGAUUAAGUGCAAUCAAUUUCUGUUUUGGAAGAAAUUUCAGAAAAUUAGGUUUUGUAGUUCUUCAUUCUGCCCGAAUUUAUUGCACCAUGUUAGAACCCGAAUUGGACUUUGCUCAAAACAUGAAAGUUGUAGGUAUUGAUGAGUUUUAAGUGCCUGUAAAAUUUCAGGUCAUUUGGAUUAGUGUAGAGUGAGAUAUGCCGAUUUUACUGUUGCUAUUCUGGGUUGAUCAGAAUGCGAAAACUGCACUUGUAAUUGGCCAUUUUGACUGGAAUUGCUUUGGAUUUAGAUGUUGGUUUCUUCUGAUGAAAUGUAGCUGGAUGUCUUAGCUACCAUAUGCCUUUAGAAUUUCGGCAUUUGGACCUGUAUAGACUGAGUUAUAGUAAUUACAGGAUUAUGUGAUUUGUAAACCUGUUUUUGGUGUUUCCGGUUGAGUAUUUGGCACAUUUGACCUAGUUGUGCUAGGAUUUGGACUGAGUGGCCUUCUACAUUGUUGUAGACCUAUCUCUUAUCUUCGAAACGGUGGGUCUUGUACCUUCUUCCGACAAUCAUAACGCCUUUGGUACCAUUACCGCAAAAUGACGUCAAAACUGUUUUUCUGGUUUUGAGCUUAACUUUCAUUUCCAGAUUUUUUCCCCCUAGCUUGACUUGCACUAGUAUUACUUGGAGCUUGCUGAAUGGCUAUGGAUGAACUUGUUGUUGUGUGUGUACCUUUGGGACUGGCUGAGGAAAUAAUGAAGCCAUGAUGGCUGGAAAAGUUAGCAAAUGUAGGGGAAGUGCUGUCCGAACUUUUAAAGGAUUUGUUUGCAUUGAGUUUGUGAUCUAAGACUUGGGUUUGAGCAAGGCAAUGAUACAUGAUGGAUGAUUUCUGAGCCAUUGAGGUGAGUGACCUCAAACUAUUUCUGAAGUUCUUUAUGAACUGUUUCCUGCAUUAUUUACUUUUAAACUGUUUCCAAAAGUUACUUUUGAACUGUUUUCUUGCAUAUCAUGCGUACUUGCAUAUGAGUGUCCCUUGGUUGCUGUAAUUCUUGACUUAUUGGCUUGUCAUUAUUAAUUGAAAAUGUGUUAAGUACUUUCGAUGAUUGUUAAAACGAGUUUUCUAGGCGAGUGUGUACUUUAUCGUACUCGACCUAAAUAAAUAUGAAUUUUCAAUGAUUAAUGAUUAAAUGCUAGUUGCGCAUGAUGUAAGCCUUUUGGCUGAACUGGCCACUGCCCUUCGUUACCGAUCGACUCGAGCCAGAAGCGGACUCGGUCGGGCGAUAUGGUGACCCUGGGUGAAUUGGUAUAUCGAGUAUUACCUUGUAGUCCGGCUACGUCCGGAUGGGUGGAGUCCGGCCAACGUCGGAUGGGUGGAGUCCGGUCAACGUCCGGAAAAGGGGAUGAACGAAUAAAAAGAUGAACGAGGGUUUAUUUAUAAAAAUGAAAUUUUCAAAUAAUUGGAGGAAUAAGGGGAAAUGUCAGGGGAACGAACAAAUGAAUAGCUCCAUGUGAGCGGUAUCCUUUUAAUGAAUAUGUUACUAUCGCUUUCCAUUGUAAAUGUUUCUUGAAUUAUUGAUUAUUGAUGGUUAAUGUGUUGGCUUUGUUAUGAAAUUUCAUGUUUCGGAACCUUAUUGAGAUUUUAGCUCAUUGAGCUUUGUGGAAUUACCAUGUGGUGUCAUUUUCUGCUUUUGUUUUACUCUCACUGUGCAAAUGUUGACCUGUAACAAAAUUACAUUUUUACCCCCGGUUACUUAUUGAACUUCUAAAACAUUACAAUGAUUUCACUGGCUCACGAGAGCAAAAAUACGUACAUCUGAUUUCUGAACCAUGACAUCAAUGAAAUGAAUUUUUGUGAAAACUAUUUGAUUACUGAUUUUACUGGUUACUCACUGGGCUUUUAGCUCACCCCAAAAUGUUUUAUUUCCCCCCCACAGGGCUCAAGGCGAAGGAAGGGCUUGUUGUGCUUAUUCACGUGACUGGAUGGCUUAUAUCGUGUACAGUUUAAGUUUGGAUCUAUUUUAUGUACGAGUUGGUCUUGUAUAAAUAUUUGAAAUUGAUAUGGAUGUAAGUAUACAUUCCAGAUUGGAAUCAGUUUCCGCUGCAUUUGUGACAUGUAAUUAUUGGAGACUUGGAUGUAUGUUUGUGGACCAUGUGAUGUAUAUUGAGAUUUAUAUUGUAAUUCAUUUGAGGAUUGUAGUGAUCGACUGAGUCCCGGCGAGACCUGGGCAGGCGGCCCGCCGAACCCUCUGGUUCGCCUUAGGGGGAGGUGGGGCCGUCACAUGUUUUCCCACUUCCACUCGGGUAUCUCCAAGGGUUGUAAUAGACCCGAUGGUUUUUGAUGUUCUGCCUUCACUUGCUGGCAAAUAAGACAUUUCUGCACGUAUUGAGCUAUUUCCCUCUUCAUAUUGUCCCACCAAUAAGUCCCUUUCAGGUCUUGAUACAUCUUGCUGCUACCCGGAUGGAUUGUAUACUUGGACCGAUGAGCUUCCUCCAGAAUUUCCUCUUUCAACACCUCUUCAUUCGGUACUACGAUUCGGUUCCGAUACUUCAAAAGACCCUCAGGACUCAAAUUGAAGUCCGUUGUUUCUCCCUUUUCCAAUUUCUCUCUCCACUUCCGUACCAUCAAAUCCUCGCCUUGCGCCUCUUUUAUACGUUCCAGUAGAGUGGAGGUAACCCUAACAUUGCCAAAUAUCACCUUAUGGCUCCCUAGACAGGGUUUCCAUUCACACACGGAUUCUAACAAAUCCCACUCCUUAAUCAUUAGCCCUGCCACUUGCACUUUACGACUCAGGGCAUCUGCUACCACAUUUGCCUUUCCCGGAUGGUAAUUGAUCGUACAGUCGUAAUCUUCCAGGAAUUCCAUCCACCUUCGUUGCCUCAUGUUCAGUUCCUUCUGGGAGAAGAGGUACCUAAGACUCUUGUGAUCCGAAAACACUUCGAAGGUCACCCCAUAUAGGUAAUGCCUCCACUUUUUCAGUGCAAACACAACUGCAGCUAAUUCUAGAUCGUGAGUCGGGUAGUUCUGCUCGUGAAGCUUCAAUUUCCUAGAGGCAAAAGCAAUCACAUUCCGGUUCUGCAUCAAAACGCAUCCCAAUCCUUCUCGCGACGCGUCUGCAUAUACUGCAAACCCGUCCACUCCAUUUGGCAAGACCAGUACCGGAGCCAUGGUCAAUCUUUUCUUUAAUUCCUGAAAACUCGUUUCGCAUCGGUCGUUCCAGAUAAACUGGCCAUGCUUCUUCGUUAGGUCAGUUAAAGGUCCUGCCAGUUUGGAAAAGUCCUUAAUGAACCUUCGGUAGUACCCAGCUAGCCCUAGAAAGCUACGAAUUUCCGUGGGGGUUUCUGGCCUCUUCCAAUUUGUCACGACCUCAACCUUCGCCGGGUCCACCGAAAUACCUUCAUGAGAGAUCACGUGCCCGAGAAAUGCCACUUUCUCCAACCAGAACUCGCAUUUGCUAAACUUGGCAUACAGCUGAUGUUCCCUCAAGGUCUGCAACACCACUCUCAAAUGUUCCUCAUGCUCAUCACGUGUCUUAGAGUAGACCAAAAUGUCGUCAAUGAACACCACGACAAAUCGGUCCAGGUAGGGUUUGAAAACCCUAUGCAUUAGGUCCAUGAAAGCGGCGGGAGCAUUAGUCAGUCCAAAGGGCAUAACGGCGAACUCGUAAUGCCCGUAUCUUGAAUUGAAAGCAGUUUUCGGAAUGUCCUCCUUCCUAAUCGACAACUGGUAGUAUCCCUGUCGGAGGUCCAACUUGGAGAAGACCACUGCUCCUUGCAACUGGUCGAACAAUUCGUCGAUGUGGGGCAGUGGAUACUUAUUCUUGAUCGUUACAUUAUUUAGACCUCGAUAGUCAAUGCACAUCCUCAAGGUUCCAUCCUUUUUCUUCACAAAUAGAACAGGAGCUCCCCAAGGAGACUCACUCUCGUGAAUGAAACCGCGCUCCAACAGAUCUUGCAAUUGCAACUUAAGCUCCUUAAGUUCUGCAGGCGCCAUUCGGUAAGGGGUUUUUGAGAUAGGUGCAGUUCCAGGUAAAAGAUCUAUUCGGAAUUCUAUCUCCCUUUCCGGAGGUAAGGCCACUAAUUCAUCAGGAAAUACAUCCGAAAAUUCCCUCACUAUGGCCACGUCUUCUACUUUUAACUUAUCCAUAGGGGUAUUAAUUAAGAAGGCCAAAAAUCCUUGCGCCCCACUACUUAUCAGUUUCCUAGCUCGAAUGCCCGAAAUGAGAGCAGAUGAGGCUAACCUACCCCUUAUAUCUAACCUUAAGGUUGCCUCGCCAGGAAUGCGAAAUUCAACUAUUUUCGUUUUACAAUCCAGUUGCGCGUUAUAUUUGGCUAGCCAGUCCAUACCCAAAAUCACAUCGUACCCCUUAAUGGACAAGCUAAUCAGGUCUCCUAAAAACCUCCUUUCACCUACCCAUACAUCGCAAUCCUUUGCCACCGCUAACACUAGAGCAUUUGGGUAGGCAUAAUUGCUACGGCACUCACACUGUCGAACGCGGCUAGCCGGGCUCCAACGCACCACGGCCCCCUUCUGCCUCAGUUGAUACUUAAUUGUCGGCAGCGUGCUACGAGGACGAUCGCCUACCGGGCGGUCACGCGGGUCACCACUCGCAUCCAUCCUAUAACAAAGGAAGAAAUAAGAUGAAUAACCGUAAUAGGUAUUAACAAUAGCAUUCUCAAGUCGAGCACUUCUCUCCCACCCAGGCUAGUUCAAACCCUGGCUCUGAUACCACCUGUGACAGCCCCACCUUCCCCGAAGGCGAACCAACGGGGUUAGCGGAUUGCCUGCCCAGCUCUCGCCAGGACUAACGGUAUAGUUUACGUCGAUCUAUUACGUUCCGGAACAUACCAUUGCGCGCAAACAAGCCAAAAUCGCAAAAUAAAAAAAAAACGAAAAUCGAAGCCGAAAUGAAUAGUGCAAGCCACGUCAGAAUCCGGCCAGAAUCGGGCCGGAUUUCCGACCAGAUUCUCGGCCGGAUACAAGGCCAAGAGCAAAAUAAAAAUUUUCAAAACUCCCUCGCAAUCCGGCCUGCAAUCCGGCCAAGAUUCCGGCCGGAUUGUCUGGCCGGAUACCGGCCAGAGAGCAACUGGCCGGAUUCUUUUUUUCCCAAGGCCAAUCCGGCCAGUUUCUGGCCGGAUUCCUGGCCGGAUUUGGCACUGUUCAUCCAUGCCAAAAUUUUUUUUCCGUUUUCGUUUGAAGUCGUCUUGAUCCGAAAUUCAUCCAAAUCACAGCCAAGCAUAUAUAUUCAUUGGAAAUCAACAUUUACAAGCCAAAUGGCGUACAAGCUAUCCCAUUAGUUCAUACCAAUACAAUUAGGCCAACACAAGCCCUUCAUUAAAGAAAGCUAUACACUUAGGGUUAUCACCCUCAAGGAGCUAAACAAAAUUACAUGUACAAGAGCUCAACUUGUCAUCCAACUAUCAAAAUCUUUCCAAAAGUGUUCAUUUUCCUGUAAGGAAAAUAAAUGACACGGAAUGAGCUAAAGCCCAGUGGUAUACUACUACAUAAGCAACCAAAGUCACAUAAGGAUGAACUUUCAUUUAAAGUGCACAAAUAAGCAGUAAAACAAAACGGUAAAAGGAUACGGUCGGCUCUCAAGAGCCCAUUUCCACGCUUGCAAUCUUGAUCCAACCUCAUUGACCCUCCGUCAAUGUCAAAAGUAUCAAACCGUAGACCUCACUUUACUUCCAUUCCUUCCACCCAACAUACCCCAACCGGGCCCGCACUCCAUUCAGUAAUAUUUUUGGUAAUACUCGAGUAUACCGGAACCAAGAGUCUCAUUACUACAAGGCUCCUCAGUACAGCCCCCGUGGCAUGACAAUUUUCACGACCAAGCCCUCGCCGGCUCGAUCCAAUUGACUACCAAACGGGGUUGAGCUCAGUGAUACAGUAAAGUAGUCGGACAACCGUCCAAACAACACCAAUUCAGUUUCCAUAUAACCAGUGCAGUAAUACAGUAAUACAGUAAAUAGCCACGAAUGAAAUCACAAGGGGUGAGGGCGGUCAAGUACACCCUCACCUCAAUCAUUUCCAAUAACCAAUUAAGCCCUCAAGGCAUCAAAUACACAUAGCACAAAGCCACAUUAUAACAAGUAAGUGAGUAGUGUACUCACCAAGUGAGAAAGUGGUGUUUCAUACACCGCGAUCACCAAUAUGUCGUGAGCUACCGUCACGCCCUAGAACAUGUAAACAAAUGCAAUGAGACUCGAUAACGAGUCAUAUAACAAUGCUUAACACAACCCCAAUAGGGUUUCAUAUGCACAAAUAAGCAUGAUAGCAAACCAGAAAUUAAGAAAGGGCUUUAACUUAAGCCUUGAUAAGAAAACCGGUUUUGACGUCAUAAUGCGGUAAUGGCACAACUCUCACUACGAAUAUCGGUUGGGGUUGUAAGACCCACCGUUUCGAAUCUAUGGAACAGGGCUACAACAAUGUAGAAGGUCACUCAAUCCAGUUCCUAACACAACUAGGUCAAAUAUGCCAAAUACUAACCCAGAAUUCCUAAAACAGGUUCGCAAAACACAGAAAACUGUAAUUGGUAUAUCUCAGUCCAUACAUGUCCAAAUGCUGAAAUUCCAAAGGCAUAUGUUAGCUAAGACAUUCAGAUACAUUUCAUUAGAAGACACCAACUUCAAAAUCCAAACCAAUUCCAGUCAAAAAGGCCAAUUACUACAGCAGUUUUCACAUUCUGCUCAAUGCAGAACAGCUACAGUAGAAACGGCAUAACUCACUCCAUACUCAUCCAAAUGACCUGAAAUUUUACAGGCACCUUAAGCACAUCAUUACCUACAACUUUCAUGUUUUGAGCAAAGUCCAAUUCGGCCUAUAACCCAGUGAUCUAAAACCGGACAGAAAUGGGAUUCUAUGAACCCUAACUUUUCAAUUUUCACACCAAAUCCAAAAUUGAUUGCAUUUUCCUAUCCAAUACACCUCAUAGAGUCAUUAUCAACCAUUAUCAUUCAUCAUACAAGCCCCCAACAUCAAGAUCAUAUUAAUCCAGAAAAAUUCCCAAUAAAAUAAAAACUUCACCAAAACAAGCCAAAUCAAGAAACAAAUCAUAUAUUCCUUCACUCAUGCCACCAUUAAGCAUAAUAUAACCAUCAUUAGGUAUAGGGGAGAGGUUGUAGCAUCACUUACCAAGAAACAAGGGAAAGAGAGAUUGUAGACACCUUUGCACUUCAAAACAACUUCACUACAACCCUUACUAGCACUAGAAGAUAGGAUUUUAUGGAGUGAAAUCUAGUCUAAGCUUUGUUUAUGGAAGAUUGAGUGAGAUGGAAGCUUGAAAUUUGAUGAACUUUCUCCCUUGUGGAGCUUGGGAUGGCCGGCCAAAGAGAAAGAAAAAUGAGGAAUUUUUUGUGAAUUUUUGGAGAUAUUAACUAAUUGGGUCAAAAGUCAAAAAAUUUGUCAAAAGGUGAAUGGUGUUUCUUAAGUCAUAACCAAUGAGAAGGUGACAUGUGGCAUCUCAUUAAAUGCCUUCCUAUCUUUCUUUUCUCUCUCACAUCAAUCACUUCACACACUCUACUUAUCACUUAACACCCGAUAAAUUUUACACAGUAUCCGAAACUUAACCUUAUUGGCCGAAUUUUUCCGAACUUUUCGCACUAGUGGGUCCCACGUCCACUAUUUACUCUUAAUUUUCUAAAAAUUCUCCAAUACUAUAAAAAUCAUCUAAAAACUAUAAUUGCUCAUAAAAUCUACCAGGAAAAAUAUUUCUAAGCCCGAAAAUGCAGAAAACAUGCAAUUAAGGGGAAAAUAAACCGUAGGAAAAUAAUUAGGGUUUUACGGGUUCUCACAUACAUGACCUGAUAGAUUGUUGGGAAAAAAACACAGCUUUUUUGUGAUACUUUUGCACUAAAUAAGCAAGAAAGUUUAUGACCGGUAGCUUUGAUUGAAAGUCAAGGUGAAAAACUUUUUAUUUUAAGAGUCAUUUAAAUUGUUUCCAGAAAUGUUACAAUCAUAGGCAAUGAAAUCCCAGAGCCAAGAUUAUGUAUCACUAUUCUCCACAUUGAUUGGAAAAUAUCACCUGGAUGCAUCUCUAAUGGGUUAUGUAACAUCUUUUGGAAAAUUGCUAUGGAUGGAUUCUCUUAUAGACCCUUAAACUAUUAUUUGUUUGUAAGCUCACUAUGAAUGUUGAUUAUGAACACUUUCUAGUAACAUCUCUACUUUACUUAAUUUUUGACUUUUUUUUUAUUUAAAGGGUCAACCUGCCCUAAAUUUUAUUAAAUCAUGCAACGAUAUACUAAAAGGAAAUAAUAAAAACCCAAAAAUCAAGCCCUAAGUUGCACCUCCCGCAACCGAGGAACUCCUAAACGGUCCACACGUGCCUCACCUCUGGCCCUGCGGGGUAAGGACUCAACCGAGGAGUAGCAGCAAUGCCCCCCUACCUGCAAGGAUGCUAGGGCAUCUGCCACCGAGUUGGCCUCACGAAACACAUGCUGAAGAGGAGCCCUCAUCUGAUGGAGGAGAUGUCUAAUCUCCCGCAGUACAGUACAUUUUGCCCUCCUAAGUACUGGAGGGAAGAUCGUCCUCAUCCGGCAUGUGCUUGGCUCGAUUUCCCUAUAUCUGUUACAGGCAUUUUGUCCCCCCAAAUCCGUUGUGACGGCCCUCGGCAGGAUCUGCAACUCCUUCCUAUGGGACGCAAGCGUAGACUCGAAGUGGAUACACUGGGCGGCAUGGGAGAAGCUCUGUGUUCCGGUCCAGGAAGGGGGUCUGGGGUUCCGCUCUUUUUCUGACUCGUCUAAGGCGUUUGCGUGUAAGUCAUGGUGGCGGCUGUGACGGAAGAACUCGAUAUGGGCAUGCUACAUGCAUAACAAAUACAUCAAGGACAUGCACCCAUCGCGCGCUGCGGUGCAGCACUCGCCGGCAUCAUGGCGUCGUCUGCUAUCAGUUCGAGACUUUGCGGAGGCUAGGAUCAGGUAGUGUCUAGGGAAGGGAAUGGUCGACUUCUGGUGUGACAUCUGGUGUGGAGAUCGCCCUCUGGCGCAGGUGAUAGGGGUGUCGAAUCCCUCGCAUUCCCUGGUGGCGGAGUUCUUCACGCCUCAUGGAUGGAAUGUGCCUCAGCUUAAGGAGUGCAUCCCCGAUUUCUUGGUUCAGCAGAUCACUAGCAUUCAUUUCUCACUUGAUCGAGAUGACGUUAUGGUUUGGACACCCUCAACCAAUGGCAAUUUCUCCGUAGCCCCAGCGUGGGGGGACAUCCGCAAGAAGCGUAAUAUUUCGUGGAUCGAUCGUUAGGUCUGGGGUUUCAUCGUUCCUCUAAGAGUAUCCUUCUUUGUAUGGAGGCUGUUGCGCAACUGGAUACCCCUCGAUAGCUUGCUGCAAGAUAAGGGGGUAGCACUAUGUUCCAAAUGCAGUUGUUGCCAGCAAGGCCUAGAAACUAUCAAUCACCUUUUCUUGCACGACGCGGUGGCUGGGGAAGUGUGGGAACACUUUUUCAAGGUGUUUGGGCUUCUCCCCUUCACCGCGGUCAGUGUUGCCGCUAUGCUUUCCCACUGGUUCUUCUCACACUCACAGGAUUCGUCCACUCAUGUGCGGAACAAAGCUAGAUUUGAUGCAUGUCCCAUCACUUCGUCUCAAGUGAUUUUUCAGAUCGAAGAGUUGUUGGGCCGGAUGGGUAAGGCUCGCGUUUUCUCUUCGGCCUCUUUUUCAGGCGACCGAGAUUUUGUCCCUGGGCAGCCUUUGGCAACAGCUAUGGACGGCCUAAGGCCGUGGUGCCGGUCUCUUGGGAAAAGCCAUCGCCGGGGCAUCUAAAGCUUAACACUGAUGCCAGUGUCCUCAUCGGCAAAGCAGUGGGGGGUGGGGUGCUGCGUGAUCAUGACGGGAGGGUGAUCUCGGCUUAUUACAAAGAGUUUGGGGAUUUGGGAGUGCUGGAGGCGGAGGCACAAGCUCUCCUAGAAGGUCUAAAAAUGUGGGCAGAACGGGAGACGGGAGCUUUGACUGUUGAAUCAGAUUCGAAGGUGCUUGUCCAACUAGUGAAUUCGGAAGCCGUCUCAAAAUGGCCGGUAUGUACUUAAUUCUUGACUAGUUAUCUCUUUCACUAUUUUUUUUAUUUAGUUUGCUAAAUUAUUAGGUGAUGUAGGACUAGGACAAAUGUGAACUUAGUUUAUCAUUUCUUUACCUAUUUUAUGUGUGUGGUAUUGUUCUCUAAAUUUGAAUGAUUUGUCAUAAAUUGAGUCAAAAUCUAACCAAGGAUAUAACUUGAGCCUCGAGGAUCAUAAAAAUUUUCAAGCAUACUAUGACAAUUAUCAGACCGGGCAUAAAUAAUCCUAAAGGCAAUAGUUUAGCAACAAGCAAUCAAAAAUUCAAUAUAUAAUAAAUUUAUGUAAGCUAAAAUAAUUGGCUAGAUAAAUUCCCCACUCUCAUGCUUGACAAGCUACAAUUAAGUGUUAGUGCAAAUCUUCCCAAAAUGUUUGUACAACUUGACAAUAGAAGGUUUAGUUGAACUCUCUUCCAAAUACCUCUCUUUUUCAAGCAAAAUUAAGUAACUCAAAUUUUUGAUAAUUAAAGGGGACAAUUGUGAGGACCCGAAAAUUUUCGUAUUUUUAUCGAAUGUUAUUGGUUUAUUUAAAUAUUUAUUCACUCAUUUUCUCCGAAUAAUUUAUUUCAACCAUUUUAAGUCCAUUCGUAUGGAACAAUAUCUUCCUUAUGUUUUUAAAACGUCCCCGUUAACAAAUUUAAUUUUUUCGAGAUUCGUUUAAGUGAGGAAUAAUGAGUACACGAGUUUCGAGGUGAUAUUCUAUCCGAGAGUGCAAUUAUCUUGGAGAAUUAAGAAUGAUCAAUAGUAGAUUAAGAAAAGUUAAUUGAGGAAUUAGAGGUGAAUGAGUUCUAAUUAAGCUUAUACCGUGUUCGCGCCGAAAGUUUUCGAAAAUCGCACCACGCGACAAAUUGGAGGCUUGAGGAAUCAAUAUGUGUGAGUACUCAUAGUUUUAUUUCUAAAAUAACUAUUUUUAUGAUUAAUUACUCUAGUAGUGGUUACUUAUAUUAUCGUUACAAGAAUUCUUUUAAGUUUCACUUUAUCGCGCGUGAAUCGAAAAUUCGCGUAAAUCGAGCCGGAGCGGCUAAGUGGAGAUUUCAGAAACUUAAUAUAGACUACUAAGAGUGAAUAAUUAUAAUAUUUAAGAAAAUGCAUUAGAGGUUUAGUGCACAAGUGAAACAAACCCGAGAGAAACGGACAGUAAACACGCGCGUGCGAACUAUUGAUAGUUGACUUUCACCAAACUUUGGCCCCAAGUUUUAUCAAGCUUUCAAGAGAAGCUUUAGCCAUCAGAUUUUUUACUCUCUAUCUUUCCUCUCAAGCUGCCAAAAAUGCUCAAGCAAAGAAGAAGAGCAAGAGCUCUCUCAUUUCACUCCAAAUCUUCUCACCAUUUCACUCCAAAAUCACCACACAAACUCACAACAAAUUGGAGAUUCACUUGGACUUGGAAGGGAGCAUCUUUCUCACGGUUUCUUGGAGCUCUUAGUGACCUAAAAUUUCUGAUUUUUCAUCAUCCAAGAGGUGGUAAUCAUCUAACCUUUUAAACUUGGUUCUAGUGAGUUAAAUUUGACUUGGAAGCUUGUAGCUUCAUGUGGGUAUCUUUAUUUGGUUGAAAAUCAUUUGAGUGGGCUCUGUGAAAUCCCACAAUGGACAUGUUGGACUGAUAUAAUGAUUAUGGAGGUUAAUUAUGUUGAUUAACUAUUAAACAAGUGGAUAUAAGUUGAAAGAGUGGAAGGAAAAUCAAAGGAAAGUUGAAGCUAAGAAGGGCCGAAUUCUGCCCUGUUCUUGCCGAGCUCUUGGUUCAAUUUUUUUUGUGAUCAAAUGACCUUGAAUUUUUUGUAGAUAUGUUGUAUAGGUUGUGUGGAAAGUUUUCACAAAAAAUUACUUGAUUUGGUUAGGAAAAAGUUGAGUUUUGAGUAAGAACAAACUGGAAAUUCGCGUAACAGGGGUAUGCUGGCAGUAAUCUUUAAACGAUCAUAAAUCUUUGCUCAGAUGUCAAAAUAAAGUUUUGUUUGCGGCAUUUGAACCUAGACAUUUCCAGUUUUCUAACGGUAUAAAAUGAAUCCCCUGAUUCAACUUGAGUGAACCGUAUCAAUUCUUCAAAGUUACCUAUUCUGUUUUAUUGCUGUGCACGAGAGUAAGUGAUGAGCUGAGGCUUGUUGCAUGGAUUUGAGCUAGCUAUGAACUGAAUUUCACAAGGAUUUCUUCUUAUGAAAUGUAGCCUUAUGAUUUUAGUUUCCAACGCCACCAACCAUGCCCAAUUCCAAAUUGAAUUGACUGAGUUAUGACCAAAUUACAGAACUGUACCAGUGAUAGAAAACCCUAAUUUUGGCUAGCCGAAUGGCUUAGCUCGAAUUGGGACUUGUUAGUUUGAAACUUUUGGUGUCAAUCACCUACCAAAUGUAUGUUGGAUGUUUCUUAGAUCUUUUUUUCGUAAAUGAACCAUGUUUGAGAUGAUUUUAUUGGCCAAUGGUUCAAAAAAGAAAAGCGGAAGCAUGAAGGCAGUUUUGUCUUCGGAUUUCCUUAAAUUUUGGUAGUUUAGUUAACUACCUUCCCUUGUGAAUUUUUAAACGAAAUUUAGUAGAGAAGUAGUCCUCAUAUGGAAGUUGAAUUGUACCAAUUUUGGUAUUAUUCUAAGACCGUUUUGAUGUACAAAUAAGUUACCAAAUUUAUUCUUCCAAAUCUGGAAAAUUGCCCAACAGCCCUCAUUUUGAACCAACUUUGAGCUGCUAUAUCUUGGCGCUCAAAACUCUGAUUCUGUUUUGUUUGUUGUGUUUUAAACAUUGAUUGUAAUUCUAAUUGAGUUUCAAAUUUUAGAGACUAGUUCACAUUCUGUGAAUAUUGCCGAAUUUCCAAAGUUUGCCAAAAACCAACCCCGAAUCUGUCUUGAAAAUGCAAGUCAGUAGUUUUAAGCCAAAAUUUAAGUGUCUUUCAUUUAGAAUCAUGGAAAAUUGUCUUCUAGGGAUUUUUAGCACUUUGGAAGUAGUUUCCAACAGUACUAAGUUUUCCAAUUUUGGACCUACAACGAAUGAGAUAUGAUUUUUCAAAAAUUGCACCUCAAAUCUGGAAUUUCUGAACUUGAAGGGAAUUGAGUUUUUAGAAACUCUCCAUUACCCUUCGAUAUUGCUUGACCGUUUUACACUUGAUUUCAAAGAGAAAAAUCAGAUUUCCCUUGUAUUAUUAAACCCCACUUUAGAGUCUCGAUUUACGAGUAAUUAAGGAUAAUUUUCAUGAUAUUUUCUUAGAUUGUACAAGAGUACAAUCUUCCUUGAUAAUUGAGGGUUUUAAGCGAUAGUGUGUGAUAGAUAAUUAUUGUUUGCUCAGGCAUUCAAGAAGACCUCACAACCGACGCUUAAACACUUGAAUUGUGCACCACUCUCUUAUUUUGACUAGGUGAGUGUCAAGUGCAUGUUUUGUUGCAAUUAUGUGAAUUGCUUCUCAUGAACAGAAAAUUGAUAACUGCUGAGUCGAGUGUAUACUUUAUCGCACUCAUUCUCAUUUAAAUGAAUUGUAAUUGAAUUGCCUAAAUUGAAUUGAAUUACCUGACCUGAAUUGAAUUGAAUUAUAUGCUAUGGCUGCAUGUCUCUGGUCGAGAACCUUGGUAAGUCAUGAGAAAACCUGUAUAAGCUUGACCUAUUGAAGAGAUCUAGCUUGGCCUAUUCGUGCAGUAGCGCCUUUAUAGAAGUUCGUGCCCGAUAGGGGGGUUGUAUGGUGGAGAACCUGUGAAGUUAGUGGAGAUCCGCGGACUUAAAAUAUCGACCCGGUUGACGGAGUGUCAUCACGGGGAGGUAUUCGAUCGAGGUUGACAAAGCAUGUGGAAAUUAGCUCCUAAGAGCUACCAUAUCCUUGAAUUGUUUCUGUUUACUUUUACCUGCUUGAAAUGUUAAUUACUUUACCGUUAUGGCUUUACAAUCGACUAGAUACUUUUGAAAGUUGUAUAUUUGGGAAAGUGAUUGUAUUUUGAAAUUAUGAUGCAAGGUUGAAUAUUCACGUAUGGAAAUGACUUUGUACCCUUGUUCCGACUUUCAUUGUUAGUAUUACACUGUAAGUUGAACUGGAAUUGUACUGAAUCCUAGCGAGAGCUGGGCAGGCGUCCCACAGAUACCCUUUGGUUCACCUUAGGGAGAAGUGGAGGCAUCACAGUUGGUAUCAGAGUUUAGGUUUUAGAUUUUUGUAGUGUAUCUUAGGCUUAAAAGUUUAGGAUGCCGGACUGUGGAACUGUUUGGGAAGUUAAGUGACUGCUUGUGGGGAUGAAAAUUAGAAAUUAGGUUUGAAUUAAUGGACAAUUGGGAGUCUCGAUCUUGUAAGAGAUAUGUAAGUUACAUUUAAGCUUUUAAUUGGGAGUCCCAUUUAAGCUUUUAAUUUUAAUUGUAAGUUACGGAAGGUAACGAUUGUAUUGAACCGUCUCGGGGACGCAUUCCGGUGGCCAUUGUCAGGGAGGGCCUAAAAGAGCUCGUUGGAGGUAUAACUCAACUCGCCGAACUAGGACUUCAUGUGAUCUUCAAAGGACUUACUUGUACCUAAAUAACGUGGUGUUAGUUGUAAUCGAUGACCGGGGGCGGUUGUCUGAGGAAAUUGGAAUUAUUCGAGAGGAUAAUCGAAAACUGAGGGCAAUUGUAGAUGCUCCGAAAUUUUAUUUGUCUUUAUAGCUUUUAUUUGAAAUUACUUGCCUUAGAUUCUUGGUUGAAUGUAAGCCAAGGGAGUGCAUUUUGCUAAGAAAAGUUUCAUAAUCUCAAGUUGUUAGAAAAUCUAGAAAUUUUCGCAGGAGGUUCUACGCAGCUUUGGGAAAUUGGCUAUAACUUCGUAUAGGAAAGUCGGAAUUGAGUUCCGUUUGUUGCAUUUGAAACUAGACACAUAGUGAUUAAGGUGUAAAGUUCAGAGUUUGAUUCAAUCUCUAUAAAUUCUAGGAAGUUGGCAAAGUUGACUGAAAAUUCUGCCCUGCACAAGUAAACAUAGGUGUGAUAGCCCCAUCUCACCCUAAAGCGAACCGAAGGGUUCGGCGGACCGCCUGCCCAACUCUCGCCGGGACUCAGUCAUACCUCAAUCAUUCCCGAAAUAAAACCACAAGAAUUCGUAUAACCAUAAUCCAAAACUUAAAGUAAAACUCAUAUACAUUGCUAUCUCAAAAGGGAGUACAAACAGUGAAUAUACAAAGGUUCUCAAUUCUUCAUACGUCCAGCCCAUGCCAAAAAGUAGGGCGAGAACCAUUACAAAAUCAGAAACUAUUCUAGGCUAGUCUAAACCAAGCUCUUGUCCUUGCUCGCCUUCCCCUGUUAAGAAAAACAAAACUAAAGGAAUGAGCUAAAAGCUCAGUGAGGUUCCAAACACAUAAUCAAUUCAAUACAUUAAACAUAGAGUAUCAAUAAUUCAAGAAACAUUUACAAUGGAAAGCGAUAAUAACACAUUCAUUAAAAGGAUACGGGCUCACAGGGAGUCAUUUAUUCGUUCGUUCAUUCGUUCUCCUGUCAUUCCCCUUAUUCCUCCAAUCACUUGAAAAUGCAUUUUGUAAGUAAAACCCUACAUUUUCAUUGACAUUCGUUCGUUCAUUUCAUUCACCCCCUCCUGGACGUUGGCCAGGCUCCACCCGACAUCAAGGUAAUACUCGAGUAUACCAAACUUUCACCCAAGGUCACCAAAUCGCCCGACCAAGUCCGCUUCUGGCUCGAGUCGACAGGUAACAGAGGGUAAGGGCCCAGUUCAGCCAAACGGAUUACAUUCAUGUGCAACUAGCAUUUAAUCAUUUAAUCAUUGAAAAUUUCACAUUUAUUUAGGUCGAGUGCGAUAAAGUACACAUUCGCCUAGAAACUCGUUUUGGAAAUCAUUGAAAGCACUUAACACAUUAUCAAACAGCAACAACAAGCCAUGAAAUCAAGGAAAUUAUAACAAAUAAGGAACACUCACCUCUUUACGUAAAAUAACGUCCAAAAUAUCCCUCCGGAUAACACCCUCAAUCACCAAUGAACCCUAAUUGUAAUCAAAAGAACACAUUAUGCUUCAACCAGCAAAACCUAAGUGAUUCAAAGAGAAUCCAAAUACGUACUAGUGCGAUACAUAAAUAUGAGGUUUAAGGUGAAAAGUAUAUAUUUAGAUUAAAGGACAUUAGUAACUUGGAGUUUUCCCAAAUCAAACACAAAACCAUACCCAAAAGGGUUUUAGAAAAUUCCAUUGAAAAUAAAUUAAUAGUGCCACGUCAAAAUGCGACCGGAUAUGAAAAGACAGUUGCUCAAAUUCGUAAAGCACUUUGUUUGGUCCGAAACUAACUCAUAUGCAAAGAAAUAAUGUAUAACAAGUGUCUUGGGUAAAAUCAUAUGAAAAGGAACCUAAACAAACCCUAAUAAUAACCAAGAAAAAAUAUUACAGUUAAACCCUCAAAGUUUAGGUAAACAAAAGAAAAUCCGAAUAUUUACUUGUACAAAGUAUAAAUAUAGUUUUGGAAGUGAAAAUAGUACAUGUAAACCAAAGGACAUGAGUAAAAUAUUUGGAAAACUUAUGCUCGCUCUCAAAUCGUUACCUAAUCUUCGAGUGUAAAUUUGGGCAGCACGCCCUUUGUAUUUACCUAUUUUCCAGCCACUUAUGGCAUCAUUAUUUUCCUCAAUCAAUCCCAAAGUCAUACACAAUAUAAAUUCAUCACAACAGCCGUUCAAUAGGCUCAAAGUCAUUCAAGUACAAGGUUUAGUUAGGAAAAUAACCGGAAAUGAGCUUUAAGCUAAGAAACCAAAAAAGCAGAUUCACCGCUACAUAGCAUAUCAGACAUAACUGAAACUACGCUUAUCAGAUUGGGGUAAAAUUUAUACCAUUUCGAAGCUAAGACAAAGACCUACAACUUUCAUGAAGACCGCUCAGUCCAGUUCUCACCCUAACUAGGUCAAAUUUACCAAAAUAACUCCAGAUUUUCCAGUUCGAAGCUUACUGUGAAAUUUAACUAGCAGUUCUGAUUCAUUCACUCAUAUCUCAGCACACACAACUCCAAUUUAGGUAAUUCCAAAGCCAUUUGAAAGCUAAGAUACAACGCUAUAAUUCGUAAGAAGACAUCAACAACCAAUUCAGUAAUAUUCCUGGUCAAACUAACCACUUACAGAGGCUGAUUAUCAUUUUUGACAGAAACAGGGCAGCAGGGGUAAUUUUGUCAUUCACAAGAUGCCCUGAGCCAAUCGAGCUGAAAAUUUACAGGCAACUAUUUAACACCAUUUUAUACAACUUUCAUGUUUUAACUUAAGCCUGAUCUAGUCUCUAACAUGCUCAAAUAAAACCGGAUAGAAUAGGGUCAUUCAAAACCCUAACCUAGAAUUUCCAUAAUACUACUUCCAACUAUGAAAUAUGCUCAUAAACUACCAAAACUACAACUUUAAACCACUAAUUAGCAAUUAAUUGAAGUAAAGAAGAAGUUCUUGGCAAAAUACCUUGAAAACUCAAGAAAAAUGGUAGUUUAGUAUCUUUUCUCCCACAAUCACUCCACCAACUCCUUCAACCUUCCUUAAUAAGCACUUGUAUGGUGUAGUUUCAAUUUUGUUUGGCUACAACUCAAGAUUCAAGCUAGAAAGUGAAGUAGAAAUUGACGUUUCUCACCUUGUUUUUCUCCUCAAGAGGGUCGGCCAAGGGAAGCUCAAAAUGAAGAAAAUGUUGGUCAAAUUUUGAUUUUAUUCAAGAGGUAAGAAAGUCCUUGGUCCAAGUCAAAGGUCCAAUAAAUUUAAGACAAGUCGUUAGCCAAGAUUAAUCCUUAUCUUAUUGUCGUCCAACACUAAUCUUCCAAACUAAUCCCUAAUUAUCACCUAGCACCUUGUAAAAUAAUAAUACUUAGCACAAAAAUCACUUAAUCACCAAAAUUUUAUCGCACUAGCGGGUCCCACGUCUAUAAUGCAUUUCAAAUUUAACGUACACUAACUUAUACUAGGAAAAUGAUUUAAAAACUAUUUUCACUUAUAAAAAUAUAUAGGAAAUUAACAUAUUAAAGGAAAUAUAAAAUGGAAGCAAAGAAAUAAAAUAAUGCUAAGAAAAUGUGAAAAUAUUUGGGUUCUCACAAUAGGAAUGUUGUAGUAGCUUAUUGCUCAAUUUGGACCAACUUAUGAAAUAAAUCUCUUUGAGGUGUCUUCUAAAGAUUAUUAGUAUUUGAAGUCUAGUUUUAACAAGUCAAGUUGUAUGAAUUUUUUAUAUUUAUAACUCAAGUUAUGAUUUUUCUAAAGGAAGGGCAUAAGUUAGGGUUUUGUGCAUACUAGGGUUUUGGUGUGUGUUUUUUGUGUGCAUUUUGGUAGUGUGAUUGUGAGAGGACUUGUAAAAUCUCUCAUAUUUUCUUAAAAAUUUCCUUUUAUUUGGAAACCAUUAUUUUAUAAUAGCUUUACUACUCAUUCACUUCCUCAAUAGUUACAAUUAAUCAUAGAACUAAGGGUUUUCUCUUUACUUCCAUCAUUAAGGUAAACUAGGAUUUUUACGUCUUUUGGUAGUGUGAUUAUUCGGUAUGGAGUGUGUAUUAAAUUUAGUGAUUAAGGGUGAGUUUUAGAUGAUAUUAAGUGUGUAAUUAGAAGUGAAAAUAAUAAGUUAGUUAAUCAUACGAUAAAACCCUAGUACACGCAAUUUAAGAAAAAUUGGUUUGAACCGAUGGGUAUCGUUCGCUACCGAUGGAAUACACCACUUUAUUACCUUAAUCUCCUUGUUUUAGUUGAGUUAAUUAGCUCUUAAUUAACCCUUAAGUCAGCCACCAUUAUUGACUAAGAAAAGAGAGAUAUUUUGAUGGAAAUAUUUGUAAUUAAGCCAUUUGUCAAAAAUCCAACCAAGGUCUUGACCAAGACCUUUGACCAAGACAUUUUCCUUUCUUCUUAUCUUUCUUCUUGGCUAAUUUUUCUUCAUUUUGCUUCAUCUUGGUCGUGACUUAUGAGAGGAAAAAGAAAAGAGUAAAGAACACUUCAUUUCCAUCUUGAGUUUUAGCUUAGUUUGAGUGAAAAUCCAAAAUCCAAACCGAUUAAAUACUUAUUUGGGAACUUGGGGAGCUUGAUGUACUAAAAGUUUGGAAGGAAAGGUUGAGGUUUCUCUUGAAAGCAUCUUUCGCAAGGUAUUAAGGCUAUUUUUCCAUUUUCUUACCCUUAAUCUUGUUUAAGUUUGUAUAGCAACUCAUAUUCUUAACUAAUGAUAGUUAUUUAAGUAGUUUUGAUGCUUAUGGUAGAUUUUUGAGCUAGGGUUUGAGUUGUUUGAGUUGUGUUUCUUGUUGAUUAUAUAGAAUAUGAUGUGAAUAAGCUUAGAUAGGGAAGUUGGAGUAGUGGUUCAAGACAUGAAUAAGAAGUUUAUACCUUGAAUGCAUUAAAUUCCAGUUUUAAGCAUUGAACUGCCCUGCUUCUGACCAGCACUAUUCGCCCAUGUUAGAAGCUGAAUCAGGCUUACGUCAAAACAUGAAAUUUGUAGGAAAUGGUGUUUUAUAGAUUCCUACAAACUUUCAAUUUAAUCAGAGCACUGUAGCAUAUGAAAUGAUCUAAAUACCCCUGACUGCCAAAUGUACAUUUCAGUGGGCAGUUUUGAGAUUUCACAUGUUUGGCUUCAUUUUUCACUUUGAUCCAUAUCAAAUCAGCGUUUGGCCAAAACAUGAAAGUUUUAACCCUAUGUUUCAGCUUUCCAACGCAUGUAAAAAUGCCUCAAUCGGAAUUGUGUAGCUUGAGUUAUUGCCAUUUGAAUUCAGUACUGACAACCAGACUGACCAUGAAUUUCUGGUUCUGUAAUUUGCAAAUUCGACCUAGAUCAACUAUGAACUGGGUUAAGUUAUCUUCAUGAAAGUUGUAACCCUCUAUCUUAGCUUCAAAACAGUAUAAGGUGAACCCCAAUACGAUAAACGUAGCUCCAUUUGUGACCAAAAUGCUAUAAGAUGUCAAAUCUGCUGUUUAGCUUUUUGUCUACAAAACUGAUUUCCGAUUGUAUUAUUAGACUUGUGUUGUAAUUGGAUGAUUUUGGAGCCUAAUUGAAGGGCUAUGUUAGUAACAUUACUUGUGUGUGAUUUUGGGGCUGAAUUGAGAAAAGCAAUGAAGCCAUAAAUGGCUGGAAAAAUAGCUAAAUACAAAGGGCAUGCCGCCCAAAUUUUCACUCGAGGACUAGACGUGUGUACUUGUGGUUCGAGCAAAGAGCUGAGGUAGAAUUGAACUCGAAUUGUCUAGGUUAUUUGAGUCCUCUUUUAUAGAGGUAUAUAAGCUGGAAUUUGGUCGAAACUCGUACCCUUGGAAAAAUGAAAGUAGUGACCACUCGGAAUAUGUUUUCCUCGUCUUUUGGACUUAAAUGCGAAUUCCAAAGUUUUAGUUUCUUCUUUAGUAACACCAAAAGAGCGAGCAUGAAUUUUCUAGAGUUUGAUAAGUAACUUGAAUACUACUUGUCGCGCCCCAUUUUUUGAUAAAUAAAUGAAUUGUUUAAAAAUGUAUUUUUGUGAUUGGAAAAUGAAUCGUGAUUUAAAAGAAAAAUGAGUCUAAAUGGGGUUUUGAGAAUGCGACGAUUUGACCCAAAAUUAUAGUUUAAAAAGGGUUUUUAAAACUAAAUACGGAGUCGCCACUUGAUAAUGAGUUAAGGUGUACCAAGUCACCUAAAAAAUGUAUUUUUAAAGAAAAAUAGGAAAAAGUAGUGAGAAACCCUUUUUAAACGACUCCUAAUCUACGUAAACCAAUGAAAAAGGUUCGGGAGUCACAUUUGACAAAGGGGAAGGCAAGGAUAAAAUCCAAGGCACCCCUUUGACCUAGCCAAGGCUAGUUGCAUGAUUUAAUCCAAGAUUUUCUUGUUUUAACCAAAGAAUUUAUUACAUUUGGAUGCACUACAUGAAUGCAAAAAGAAGGAAAAAAUGCAAACCUAAAUUCUAAAAUGUCUCUUGUAAGGUUUUUGGUCCCAACCACAUGAAUUGUGGCGGCCAAUAAAGGAAAGCCUUAUAGAGGUCGAUUAAUGCAAAUGAUGGCUAAAGUGCAAGUGUGCAAGUGUAUAAAAAGGUGAACGUGUGAAAUUGUAUGAAAAAUCCAAGUGUUUGUGUGCAAGUGUAUGAAAAGGUGCAUGUGUGAAAUUGUAUGAAAAAUCCAAGUGUUUGUGUGCAAAUGAAGGGAUAAAAGGUGUACGUGUGCAAAUGGGAGGAAAAAAUGAAAGUGUAAUGAUAGAGUGGAUGCAUGAACCUAGGGAAUUCAUGCAUAAUGGGUACGGGGAGACCUAAAUCGUGACUCCAUUUGCCCUUUGAUAGAGAGAAUACAAGCGUGCUAAGGCUUAGAAAAAGCCACACUCGUCUAUAUCCCAUAUUUAAGGGGACUCUCAAGCAAAUGAACCCUAUAACUAGCAUGAAAUGCAAAAAUCCUAAAAUGGAGGGAAAAGGGGUUCGAGGAUCAUGCCAAAUGAUAAAACUAAGGAAAAUGCGUGAUAUGUGGUGAACAAGCAAAUGAUGCACUAACAAGAAAAAAAACCCUAAGGGUCUAGCGUUGGACUAGCCCAUUCUAUGAAUUCCGACUAGCGUUGGACUAGUGGAAACGAUAAAAGAAGCCACAACUAGCGUUGGACUAGUGUGGUGACGUACAUUCAUCCAUUCCAUUCAUCCACACUAUGGAAAGCAAGUAGACAUAUCAAAUACUCAUAAACACGUAGCACGUAACAUUUAGCAGGCUCGACUAGAUGCAAGGCCCUAAUAAAGCAAGUAACAAGUAACACAUAGGCAUGCAACCAAGCUAAUGAACUUACUACAUUCACUAACUAAAACAAAAGGGGAAAGGGAAAAUGGACCAAAUUGCUUGCCACAGCCCUAUCUAUUACAAGCCAAGAGGUGUACACAUACCCCAUUUUAAAGAACAAUUUAAUAAAAGCAAGAAGGAAUGAAAUAAUGGAACUAAAGAAUGGUAAUGAAAGCAAAUUAGGCAUGUGAUUCACACUUAGCACAUUGGAUCACAUAGGAGAGACAAAAGGGAUAAAAGAAAUUAUACCUCCCUUGAAAUGAAGCUCUAAUGGAGUGAAAUCAACUUAUUUACCCUCCAAAAUAAUAAAGGAGUCAAGGUACCAAUUUAUUUGGCAAAUAAUCACAAAGGAUAAAAAAUAAACAUGAAUUUGAACCAAUUAAAUCAUGCCAACGACCCACAUUUAAGAAGUCAAAAGAAAAAAGGACUUGAUUGCAAAAAUUAAUAAAGUCUUGGGGUCAAAAUUAAAGAAAAAUAAAGUUAAGGGACCCAAUUGCAAUUAAAUUAAGGACCGAAUUGAAAGUAGUUGAAAAUAUCCAGGACCACAGUAAAGUUAAAGGAAAAUACAGGGACUGAUCUGCAAAAUAGUUUUCUGGUUUCUUAAUGGAUCAAACCGUUGGGCCAUUUCCUUUAUUUGUUUGGGCCAAAGCUUCCCAGCCCAACGGACAUCCAAAACAAAAGAGAAUGGGCCAUUUCAUUAAAUUGACUCAAAGAAAAAUCCAACAAACCUGAUGGGCUUUGAUUCUUUAGCCCAAGCCAAAACUCCAAAAGAAAUAAACUAAAUCCAUUUUUACAAACCCAAUCAAAUAGAAUUACCCACAAAACUUAAACCAUAAUACUAAACCUAAUAAACAUGAACAAAUCAACAAAAAUAUUAAACCACAAUUAUGGUCUAAAUUCCAGAAUUAAUCUGUCCAGAAAACCAUAUAAAAUAUGCAAACAGAGGACUAAGCUCAAAAGAAUGAAAUUAGUUCAGCUUUUCCAAUUUUUGGGGUCACAUCAGAACAGGGGGGAACUCGAGGGGUUCAUAUGCAACAAAACAGGGAUCCAAUUGAAGGAAUUACAAUAGCUUUGGGGGGCAAAUAUGAAGUUCCGAGACUUCUUUGGGGUUAAAUUACAAAGAAAUGGGAAAUGGGGGGACUGAAAUCGCAGAAUUUGUACAAACAAUCGUCUUCUCCAAAACAAGUCCCAGCAUCCGGCUGUUUUCAUCUUGCUUUGUCUACGCGUGAAUACCAGAAAAUUCUAUUCCGACAACUCUCCAAGGUGCAAUUCGCAAGCUCCCUCUUAUACAAAUUUCAGGCCAUUAAUUCAUAUCCAUACAAAGGGAAAAGGCAGAACCAGAAACGGAAAACAAAGACAGUGUCGCAUGCUAACAUAUCAGGAUCAAAAUUCUUCUUUCUACCCUUGAAAUCAACUAUUAUGUUCUGAAAAGCAUUGAAAUUGCUGUCCAUUUGUUUCUUCACAUGCACAAACGCAGACCAGUCAUUUUCCGGGCAUAACAUUCAGUC
rnacentral:lncRNA from 1 species